ACUUUCUCAUUCAAGCUAUAAACUUUUUUUUAAGUUUCAAACUGUAAACUUAAAUUCCAACAAAGUACAUUUUCGAAAUUAACUUUCAUAUUUCCAUUUAAAUUCCCACCUGCAAACAUCUAUGUAAAAAAGCGCCCAUAACGAGGCUCAAACCUACAACCAUAAGGUCAAGAACCUUGCGCUCUACCAACUGAGCUAAACGUAUGGUCUUGAGAUUCAUACCCUAAAAUCGAAGAAGGUGGACGAUUCCAUCCCUAUGACUUUUCGAUUUUUGGUGCCUGUUACACUUCUUCACUUUCUGCAAUUGAUGAUAAUGACUUCAACUCUCCCUAUUACAACCUAUUAAAGUCAUAGGGGAAAACACUUUAGAAUCGGUAUCUUUCCUUUGAUUAUUGCUUGACAGAUUAGUGUUAGAAACUUUUUAAACUAACUUAUUUUCUGCAUGCAUAUGGUGCGGAAUCACUAAAAAUCCAAACUAAAAUUUGUGUAAUCGAAAACACAUACAUCCCUAUUAAUAAUAUUAAUCAAAACCCUUAAAAUAUUUUUUAAUUUCAUUUUACUAUUAUUUGAGGGUUAACAUGGUAAAAUCUCAAUUUUUAACCGUCCCCAACUUACAUGUUAAGUAUUAUGCAAUUUGAAAAUUUUCAUGUCAAAUUUCGUCAGUUUCUAUUAUGGAAAUUUGACCCUUUUCACAAAAAAAAUUCAAAAUUUUCAAAUCGAUUAAUAUUUAAUAUGUAUAACCCCGGUAAAUAAUGGUCAAAUGAAGUUAAAAUUCAAUUUUACUUUAUGUUAUGUUAGUGUUAAUUUUCAAAAUUGACUUAUUUUCUGCCCAGGCACAACGACGCAAUUAUCAGGGGCGCGCUUUGAGCCGUCAUUACAUGAAUUGCGUUUUGUUUAUGUGGGAACCAAAAUAUUUUACCAAAUAUUUUAAUAGGUGCAAACAAUGAUAAAACACACAGGUUUAUAUGUUCAAUCUACCCCACAACGAAACGCGAACAAACAACAACCACUCAGUUGGCUUUAAUUCUAUAGGAAUCCCCCACCGUCGCUAUUUCCGACGACCUACAUUUUGAUGAUACAAAUAUCAUGAGACGACGUGAACUGAUCUGAUCAGAGAAUUACAAGAAAGCACGCCUUUUCUAAUGAACAAAGAUUGCUAAGACAAACAUAUAGAUAAAUGUUAGUCAAGUAAUUAUUAAUUAACUGUUUAAUAUACACUAUGAUCAAGUUAUAAAAGCAAAGGUCCGGUUAUAAAGCUGGUACUUUUUAUCCUGGAGGGCUUAAUCUAGCAGACAGCCGCCAUUAAUACUGGCACGAGCAGGAUCCACUCCCUUUCGGGAAAGAAAACCUAACCCUAAAAGUCACCGGCUUAAUACCUAUUGUGGUCAUCAACUUAUUGGUUUGUAACAACACAAGUCAUUAACAUUUAAAAGGUAACACAAUACAUCUCACUAACUCAUUUCGAUUACAAUAAUAUGGUUAUUCUGGCGGCUUUCGGUCCAAAAUUUUUGUUAAAUUGACAGAUCACCGGUUUAACUCACCAUUUUGUCUAUGUUACCCCUCUCAUAUCAAGUAUCAACUAUUCUAUUAUAGACCCAACCUACUACAAUUGGUUUCAAUUAAUUUGUUUUCAUGUGUGUUGGGUUAAGCUAGAUUAUGAGUUUGAUUUAUCUAGGUUGGCUAAAUGGAAUGAGUAUAGUAUAUGGGCAUUCCCUACAAGGACUUGCUUUAACUCAACAUAAGGUGACUUUGAGUUCGUUAUGUAAGAAAUAGUUGUAGUUACGUAAGGCAAUAUGUAACGAUAGUUAUUCCUUACGUAACAGGAAAAAUAAAUCAUGUGACGUAAGAGUGACGACUGUUACGUAAGCCUUACGUAACGAUAGCUAUUCCUUAUGUAACAGGCAAAAUUAAGCAUGUUAUGUAAGAGUAAAGACCGUUACGUAAGGCUUACGUAACGAUAGUUAUAUCUUGCAUAACGAACUCAAAAUCACCUUUCUUUGAGUUAAAACAAAUUAUUGUAGCGAAUGCCUAUGAUAGGAGGUCACAUGACAAACCGUGAGGAGAUUCUACCAAAAAAACACAAACAAAGUGAUGAGGACAUAAUUACAGAAAUGGUAAGUUUGCGCGUCGAUCAUAUGUCAACUUAAGGUAAUAUUUGGACGGAAGUUGAAGAAACGACAUAUUAUUGCAAUUGAGAUAGGUUAGUGAUAGAUAUAAAAGUCACUUUUCAAAGGUGUAUAACCAUAUUGUUAGAAACUGAAACCACCAUGACCAUAAAGGAUAUUAACCCAAAACCACCAAAUUACAACAAGCCGCCCCCCUCUACCGCCGCCAUUACCAAACAUGGAAACUACCCAACAAAACCAAAACCACCCAUCAAUGACAUCACUCGCCUCUUUUCCAACCAAUCCCAAUCCUCCUUUCUCUCCCCCCUGCUUCCUCACCUACCCGAAAUUAUACCCUCAUCAGAAGGGCAUUCCCGUCAACCAACCAAAACUGGUUCACGAACUUGGGAUUCAGCAGCAGCAGCAGCAGAGAAAGAGACAGAGACCACCAUUGUGAAGAAAUCUCCCGUCCUUCCUUGCUCAGCUUUCUCUUUUCAUCCCCCCCCCCCCCUUGUUGUUUUAAAGUUUCAUCUGCUCUUCUUUCUUUUUUCAUCGUUUUAAAGUUUAAUCUUUUCUCUUCGACUGUGUCAUUUUUCACAGCUCGGAUUGAUCAGUUGGGAACCCUUUUUUCCCUGCCAAAAAGGGUAAAUGAGUUUUCUUCCCUUUUCAGGCUCUUGCUUCUUCCUCAAGAUCUUAUCUUCUCUGUCUCUGCUUAAAGCCUAAGCUCAAAAUCGCAUUACCCGCGAUUUCCCACCCCCCCCCCCCCUCCACCCCUCCCCCCACCCCCCACCGCCGCUCACCCCUCUCACAUCUCACUAAUGCCUUAAUAUUCCCCAGAAUAAUUUUUCCAUAAAAGCUCUUAUCUUUCUAUGUUUCAAAUCCUAUAGUGAUUAAUAGUAGGAAGAAUCGAAGAAGAAAAAAAACAGAGGAAUUAUAAUUAAUCCUUCUUGUUUGUUAAAUUUUCCGAUGGAUUCGAGCGGUACUCGAAAUUUCCACAACCUGAGUGACCCGUCCGAGUCGGGUUUGCUACGAUUCCGAUCGGCUCCGAGCACCCUUUUCGCCGGGGACGAUUCAGCGCCCGUUACGGGUUUCAGGGAAUUCGACAUCAAAUCCGCCGCCAAAGUGGAGGAGGCGGCGGCAUCCGGGUACCCGAGUUCGACGCUGACCCGGAGCUGCUCCGGUUUGCCGCCUCAUUACCCGAAGCAGAAUACGACGGCGGCGGCGGUGGCGGGUGUGGAUAGGGACAGCUCAUACGGCUUGUUGGCUCCGUUGGGAGCUGCGGCGGCGGCGGCGAAGACGGUUGACUAUUCUGGUCUGGCUAGGCAGCGUAGCUCCCCGGCUGGGCUGUUCGUUGACCUUUCGGCUCCUCAAAAUGGUAAUGGUUUUUAGAUUUUGUCCUUUCCUUUUUUAGAUAAUAAAAAUUUUAUUAUUACCAAUUAUUAUUAUUACGUGUUUCCUUAGAUUUGCUAUAAUUAGAUCUCCUCAUUGUGAGAUGGUAAUAAUUGGGUGGGUCAUUUCAUUUGUGAUUUGACCUAAAAUAUUACUGAAUUGGAUAAAAACCAUAACCCAAUCACUCGAUUUUGUUUUGUAUAUGAUAAUAUCUAGUUAAUUAAUACCAAACAUUAGUUUUGAAACUCCAAUCUCACGUUCGAGGUUGCUAGGUUUCUUUUCCUUAGUUUUUGGAUUCCUAUUUAAUUUGUUAGCUGUUUUCUUUUGAAUUUCGGUUAGGUUUAAUCUCUGCUUUCUCUUGCCACAUCUCUUUCACCGAGAGAAAGUACUGAGAUCUUCCUGCUUGUACAAACCCGCAGUCCAUGUAGCUCCAAUUUGUGGGGGACUGCACUUCCUCUUAGGGCGGGCAUUCUGUACGUUCUCCAGUUACACCUAUUUUGAGAAAUACAACAAGGGUCUCUUGUUCAAUAAAAAACCCCAACCUCGGAGAUUUUUUCAACCAUUUUCACCAAGUAGUUAAGAAAAAAAUCCGCUUGCAACAACAAACCGAAAGAGCAUUUGGUUAGUUAAUAAUAAUUAACGGUUAAAAUCAUAACCCGCCAAAUAUAAUGAUGGUAUUAAAAUUAAACCCGAAUUGUCAAAUUUGGUAAUUUUUUAUGAUAACCGUUUUUGAAAUGGUUAGGCAGUCUGAACCGUUGCCAAGCCUAAUUGUGUCAUCAAAGGUAACUGACAGAAAUGCGUACAUGCCAUUUUAUGAAGUUGUGUAAUUUAUCUAAACUCAAUUAGUAACAAAAAAAAUUGCAGGCCAUUAUGCUUCAAUGAAGAGCUACAAUAACAGCAGCAACAGAUCAGAAGCCAGUCCACGACAGAGAAGUCCGCUCAGCUUCCUGUCAAGGAGCUCAUCUUCCAUGGCAAUGCUAUCAUCGGAGCUCGAGCACGACCAGAGCGUGUCUCCUACUAGUUCGGACCCCACCAAGAACCUCGUCGAUGGAAGAUUCUAUGGUACUACUGAUGCAGCACGGUUCCCUAGUUACGGGUCUUGGAACGAGUCGUCGUCCCAGUUUACGGACACGUUAACUGCUCAACAUCAUCAUAGCCAUCAGGUUAAAUUCUAUGAUCAAAAUUUACUGUUGUGAGGUUAACUUGUUAUGAACCGUUGUGUUCCAAAUUGCACGAAAACAAAUGUCUAAUUUUGUUUCGCAACUCACAGAGUGGAGGAUCGCAGCUUGGGAGACUGUCGCACCACUUGAGCUUGCCCAAGAAUGUUGGUAGCUGUGGUGGUGCUUCAGGGGAAAUCAUGGGAGCCGCCAUUGACAAGUUUCUUCUGUUUCAGGACUCUGUUCCUUGUAAGAUCAGAGCCAAGCGUGGAUUCGCCACGCAUCCUCGAAGCAUUGCUGAACGAGUAAGUGUAUUCUUAAAUCGUUCGAAUCAAUAGGUUUGCUAGCUUACCGAACCAUUCUUUAGAGCAACACACUACAAGAGAAAUGGGUUGUCACAACGCUUUCUAACUACAUAUAUCUCAAAUGUCGCUAAAUUUCGAUAUAAUAUAGCUUUUACCACAUCUGUAUGACACUUUAGAUAUGUUGGUAGAAGUUUAACCUUUCUGCGACAUUUUAUUUUACUCUAAAUGACGCUAGAUCAACAAACUUGUUGUUACUCCGAUUCGAAGAGAGAUGGCCCCCGACAAUGAGGCAUCCCCGACUCGAUAUUAACUCCCAAUGAUAUACCAUCAUAGAGAUUCAUUCUGUAUGUUUUUUGUUGCAAGGUGAGAAGAACUAGGAUUAGUGAAAGAAUGAGGAAGCUGCAAGAUCUCGUACCAAAUAUGGACAAGGUAACUUGGUACUAGCUAGUACACAGUUUGAAUUUCGGUACAUUUAACUUGUACUAUGUGACAAUGUUAAUGAUACCAUUUAUGGGGUUGUUUGUUUCAGCAAACCAACACGGCUGACAUGCUAGAUUUGGCUGUCGACUACAUUAAGGAUCUCCAGACACAGUACAAGGUAUGGAAUGUCCUCUGUUAAGGCUUAUCUGCUCAUCAAUCAUUCAUCUUAUUUCGAUUUCGUGCAUGGUUUUCGGUGAUGAGCAGACUCUGAACGAGAUUCGAGCCAAGUGCAAGUGCUCACGAAGGCAGCACCAGCAGAGCCAAGACCAACUUGUUUGAACAAACGCCAUGUCGUUUUUUAUUUGUUAUCUGCUUAGCAAAAGGGAUACUUACAGUAAUACAGAGGAACUUCUGUUAGCUAGUUCAUGAACAUGAAGCAAAGAAGCUUUUGUUAGCAGUUUCCGGACCGGUUAAAAAAUUGUUUCGGUUUGGCUAAGGUAUUGAUAAACAUAAAAAAUAUAUGAUAAAAGGGGCAUCAUCAAUGGAGUUGUACAAAACACUGAGCCUAAAUUGAUUUCUCUUCUAAUUAAUUUCAUCAUUCGAAAAAUAAUAAGUUCAGUAAUUAUUGAGGUCGAAUGGGCGGUAACUUGUUUCAUGAUACUUAUGGUUGUUGUUUAGUAGCGUACACCACGAACAUGGGAUCAUGCUCAAUCACCCCGGGCUUAAUUGAGUGUCGUGACAUGGUUACAUAUUGUUUAGGGAGAGAGGGCACCGAAGUGUAUAUACACAAUUUAAUUUGCUAGUUGGCCAGCUUCAACUUUUGUUGGGGAAAGUGAAAUAAAAUAUUAUUAGUCUUUCGAAAUAAUCUAAUUCCGUGAGAUGUUUAAUCAAGAAUAGAUGAUAAUUACGUAAGUUCGUAUUUACUCUAUUUGUAUUUUUAAUCCUACGUUAUCUCAUCAUUUUUAUAUGACUUUUUUUGAAUUUUCUGAAUCUUAAUCACCCUUAAUUUUCUUAUGAAACAAUACAUACAAUUCAUUUUGGCCUUGGUUUUCUGAAAAAUAAGUUUCCAAAACCAUUCAUUUCCCCUCUUUUUGCUCGUUUCACCUCUGGGGAAAAAUAAGCACACCGAAGAACAAUUUUCCUCAACAAUUUAUCAACCCUAAUUGCACACUGCUUGAUCUCUUCCUCCACCCGCCGGCUCAUACCAGCCUGACAUUCUCCGAUCUACUCCGUCGCGAUGAUGUCAGGUUUUCAAAGGCCGAUCCAACCCACAUCAUGAAAAUUUUCAUUUCAUAUAUGUCGAUGGUAGAUGGAGGAGAAAUGUUGAAUUGAAUUGUUUGUUGUUGUGUUUUUCUAGUUUAUGCAUAUUGGUUGUCGGAUCUAGGCGAGAUCGAGCGAGUGUAGAAAUGUCGAAUUAUGUAGACUUUAAUCAGAAAAUAGAUUACGUAUUCAAGGUCGUGUUGAUCGGAGAUUCAGCGGUAGGGAAAUCACAAUUGUUGGCGCGAUUCGCCAGGAACGAGUUCAGCAUCGAUUCCAAGGCCACGAUCGGGGUCGAGUUCCAGACGAAGACACUCAGCAUCGAUAACAAGACCGUCAAGGCCCAGAUUUGGGACACCGCCGGCCAAGAAAGGUACGAUAUAUUCAUAAUUGUUUACGAAUUACGAUAUAUUCGUAAUACGGUUUGGAUAAAGAAUAUUACUAUUGAAAUUUAAGAUGGAGACCUUUUGAGAAAUCCUUCAGGUACAGGGCGGUAACGAGCGCGUACUAUAGAGGGGCAGUGGGGGCGAUGCUAGUGUACGACAUGACAAAACGACAAUCGUUCGACCACAUGGCACGGUGGCUUGAAGAGCUCCGGGGGCACGCGGACAAGAACAUCGUCAUCAUGCUCAUCGGAAACAAGUCCGACUUGGGGAGCCUGAGGGCGGUCCCGCAGGAGGACGCUCAGGAGUUCGCGCAGAGGGAGAACCUCUUCUUCAUGGAGACGUCGGCGUUGGAGUCGACCAACGUGGAGACGGCGUUCUUGACAGUUUUAACGGAGAUAUACCGGAUCAUAAGCAAGAAGACACUAACGGCCAACGACGAACUCGACUCGAAUUCGGGGUUGUUGAAAGGUACAAGGAUCAUUGUGCCCGGUCAGGAUACUGAUUCCGGCAAGAGAGGCGGAUGUUGUUGAUCAGGAAAUUAAUUAAAAAGAUAACAUAACCUUAACAACAAUUGAUGUAUGUUUUUUCGACUUUAAUUUGUCCCCUCUUGCUCGUUAGUGAAUUAAUUAAGAUUAGACAUGCAACCAUACAUUCACAAUUUAUCAAUGUUUUUUAUCGAUAAAUCUACGACGGGGAUCAUCGUCGUCGGAGUUGAACUAGAAUCGGCUUGGAGUGGCCGGUGAACGUUGACUUCUCUUACCAUCGUCGAUCGUCUGAGUUGUGAUGAUUAAUUUGGGAUUUGAUGAGGUGGUGGUUGAUGCAAAAGGGUGUAUAAAUAUUGAUAAGAUUGUAUGUUCAAUUAUAAAAUGUUCGUUUCAUAAACAACUUAACUUACGGUAUGUGAAUGUAACGGUUUUAUUAAUUAGUAUCAAUAUUUUUAAUGGUAUUAACAUUGAAUAUUGAUAUGGAAAAAAGUUUGAAUAUAUUAAUAUAUAAGUGAUUACUUAAAUAUUUCUUAGGGUACGUGUAAUUUUGUAUGAUUUCCAUUUAGAUGUACUACUUGACAUCAACGAUGUGUAAUAUUCUGUUAGUAUUUAGGUGACAACCACGUAAAAAUAUGCAUACUCAUGUCCUCAUCCUCAUAUGGAUGUUGGCAUCCACUUUGUGGGCUGUGGCAUAUCGUUCGUACCUAAGUGUAUCCAUGUAGAUAGACAAGACACGGAGGCCCAAAGAGGAAGGAAAGAUAAGCAAUUUAUUAGUGUCCAUAUAUAAGGUAAGCUGUAUUGGAUUCGAAUUUAAUAUCUUUAAAUUUCAAAACACACGAACACAACCAAUUACGAUAUCCAGGACGACUCGGAGUAAACACCUAUAUACCAUCAUUGUAAUCAUUUGUAAUAAGAAAAACUAAAUAAUGUGUACACAAGAAAAAUUAUGUACUUCAAGAAAAAGAUUUCAUGGGCCAUGCAUGACCACCUGACCAGGCUGCCCAACGGUUAAACCAUUUGGGCCCAAACGGAACAAAAUAUUGGUUAGAGCAAGAAAGCACGACUCCGUCGAUCCAUACAACUUAUCAACCGCUGACGACGUCAAUUCCGAGCUGGGUCUUCUUCCUCCCUCCGUCAACUGAUUUCUCUCCAAUCUUCUCUCUUUCUCCUCCGUCUUUCUUUCCCUCUGGUCGUCUCCUCAGGUAACGCUCUCUCCGAACUCUCCGGCCGCCGGCAGUCCCGUUCUUUUCAAACAAAAACGUCUGUCUGAAGAGAAAAUACAAAACAGAAUUCUUACACCUCGAUGGAUCCCGAUUCUUUGAGAAUUACGCCUCUUGCAUAAAUCCAUAAUCGAACUGCUUGCAUUUCAUUCCGCAUGAUUUUCCCGCUCUAGCUUUUUGUUCCGUUUUGGUUUUUGUAUGAUCAUUUGCCUGAGUGAGCGAUCUUGUUCGCUUGGUUGGAUCGUGUUCUGUGCAGGUUAGCGGUUUGAUUGAUUAUAAGGAGAAGUUGUAAGGAUGGGGGUGAAGCAGGCGAUAAAGAGCCUGGAUGCUUUCCCUCGUGCAGAAGAACACUUGUUGCAGAAAACGCGUUCUGGAGCUCUUGGUGAUUAUUUUCUCCUUCUGCUUUAGUGAUUGGAUUGAUUGUGCAUUAAGGGUAGCUGAUGAUUCAUAUAUCGUGUUGUGUUCUAUGCUGCUAGGGAAUAUUAGUGAAUGGGAAAUCCUUUCUUGUUCAUUUGUUCUAUUUGAAAUCGAAGAAAAUGACGAUGUUCUCCAGAGGUUACUUAGGAGUUUGUAGGGUGAUUCGUUGUGCUCUGCCCUUUGGUGAUAUUUGUUCGAUAUCUUGCUAUAGCUAGCCUUUAAAUGUUCUCAGCUCUUUUUGGUCGUGUUGUCUGUACUACUCUUGCGGAUAAUUUUUGCAUCUGGCUUGUUUGAAUUCUGGAAGAGUAGUGUUUUGAUCCAGAGAAAUGAUGAGUUUCUUACUAAAUUUGCGGCUUACGAUUCUAUUCUCUUUAGCGGCAAUCUGGCUCAAUUUUAUAGCUCUUCGAGACAUGUAUGGCUUAGGAUGCUUUGAUAUUUUUGGCAGUAAGCGGCAAACUUCUGACUUGGAUCCAUAAUCCUCUUGCAGUUUCUGUUAUUGGCCUUGUGAUAAUGGCUACAUUGUUUGUUCACGAGCUCAGUUACUACCUUCACACGUAUACAGUUCAUCAGGUCGGUAUUUGUUCUUUGCCUUUUUUUUAUCAACCUUAUAGAGCUGGUCAGUUCUCUUCCCCAGGAAGAUGUAAUUGUGUUUGAAUUGUGAAUGAGAAACUAAGAACCUAUGGGAAAUUCACUUUCUUCUAGAGCUUAUGUAUGAAUAAGAAUGUUACCAUAUUUAAUUAUGUACGAAAGAGAAAAACCUUAUAACAGAAACAGGGUGUAUGAGCUCCCUUUCAGUUAUGUCUUUUUCAUACAUUAAAGUUGGGUCUGUUCAAAUAUGUUAAACGUAUUGGAAAAGUUUCAGAGUGGUGGAAACUAAGUAAUUUAUGUAUUGGGCUGUAAUAGGUUGUGGUAAUUCGGAAUGUAUUUACACAAGCCUCAUCUGUCUUGCAGUUCAUUUCUUGCUGCAAUAGAUUAUUUGACUGUGCUUGUUUCUGACAGAUGUCUGUAGAUCUGACACGUGGGCAAACUCUUCCGAUUCAUAUAAACGUCACAUUUCCUUCUUUACCUUGUGAUGGUUAGCCAUACUGCUCCCUCUUCUUUCACAAUUGUCAUCUUCAUCUAUUCUGUAUCUUACUUUGCUGUACGAAUAUUCAGUUCAGUUCUUAUGAUUUCCUUGUUUCUUAGUGUUGAGUGUGGAUGCUAUUGACAUGUCUGGAAAGCAUGAAGUGGAUCUCGAUACAAACAUAUGGAAGGUAAGAUCAGACUACCUUUUUUCAUCAACGUUCUUACCUGCAAAGUUGGGUUGAGUAUUAUUUGUGCCAAAUUCACUGUGAAAGAAAUUGUCAUCCCUGGCCAUUAUUCGUUAAUUUGCUUCAGUGUAUUUUUGUUAAUUCUUUUAUGUAUUGGAGACGAUUAUGUUAAGCUACUAACCAAAUUGCAUUUUUGCAGCUUCGGCUAAACAGUCAUGGCCAGAUCAUUGGCACUGAAUAUUUGUCAGACCUUGUUGAAAAGGAACACAGUCACAAUCAUGGUAGCAUACCUCUACCUUAAUAAAACUCUAAUCAUGCAAAUAUUUUUUGAUUCAGUUAGAUGGCAGUUCAUACAUUAUUUUAUGAGCAUGGUAAUCCCAAUAAAUUUAGAAUAAACUCUAUCAUCAAAUUGUAAUCUUUAGCUUAAUCACCAGAAAGCAAUCAUGUGCAGAUGAUAAAGAUCACCAACAUGAUACUGAGCGGAAACUUCACAGUCAUGGCUUUGAUGAAGAUGCUGAAAAUAUGAUAAAGAAGGUGAAACUAGCAAUGACAAAUGGAGAAGGAUGCCGGGUAUUUAUACUUUGAAGACACAAAUACUUUAAAUGCCUUGAAAGAUACACAUGAGAGUUUCUAAUUCUGUAAAUCUGGACGUAUCUGCAGGUCUAUGGUGUUUUAGAUGUUCAAAGGGUUGCCGGAAACUUCCACAUUUCAGUUCAUGGGCUGAAUAUUUUGGUUGCUCAAAUGGUCAGAAUUCGGUUUCGGUGUCUUUUAUGCAUUUCUCUUUGCUGAUUUUAUGACUUGGCUAGUAUCUUGAUAAAUAUUUUCACCUUGUCAACUGUCUGCAAGUGACAAGAAUUUAUCUCCCAGUAAACAGUUGGAUGUGAAUUGUUCUUCUUUAACCUGUCAAUGAAUGCAUGAACUGUGUUAUUGCAGAUUUUUGAAGGGGCUAAGCAUGUCAAUGUAAGCCACAUCGUUCAUGAUCUAUCAUUUGGGCCAAAAUAUCCUGGCAUUCACAACCCUCUUGAUGGGACAUCGAGGAUUCUACGUGAUUCAAGUGGAAUAUUCAAAUACUAUAUCAAGGUCCGUUUUUAGCCACUGAUUAAUCAUUGACAUUGUAGCUACAGCGUUUUAAGCCUGUGGUUUUGUGUCGCAAAUUAUGCUAUCUGACUGCCAAUGCCACCUGGAGCUGAGAGAUAUAGUUCUGAAUUUUGUCCCUUCUGAAUAGACUUCUUUUUUGCCAACUCUGUUUAGAGCAUUGCUCUCAUUCAAUUCGUAGGCGAUUAUCAUCCGAAAUCUGCUUGAUUAUCAUUUGAAAUGUUGGUAGUCACCUGUAAAUGCAAUCUACAAUGUGAAAGUCCUCUAUGAUUCUCUUGGAAAACUACUUGGCUCAUGCAUUCAAGUGGUUCAUAUCGGUUAGUGGCUAUUCUUGAAUAUGUUGCAGAUUGUUCCAACGGAGUACAGGUACAUCUCCAAGGAAGUGUUACCAACUAACCAAUUCUCAGUUACGGAAUACUUUUCACCAAUGAACGACUUCGAUAGGUCGUGGCCAGGUUGGUUGAUUUGCAUACAAUCAUCAUAUAAACAGUCGCCUGGGGUCGUGGAAUAUGUUUUUUACCUGAUAAUAUAUCAUCGUUUUCAUUUCUGUGCAGCUGUUUACUUUUUGUAUGAUUUGUCACCCAUCACUGUCACGAUCAAGGAAGAAAAGCGCAGUUUCUCCCAUUUCAUCACUCGGCUUUGUGCAGUUUUAGGAGGUACAUUUGCUGUAACAGGUUUGUACUUUCACCAUCUUGGUCACUUGGGCUUAUUUCUGAAUUUCUUCUAAUCAUGUUUAGAUUCUCUUACUUGGUUUGAUUGGAGCAAAACAAAUAACACUUCAUCCGUCCUUUAUGUUAAAUUCGGGUUUCGUAAUUGUAUUCACAUUGACAUUUCAGGGAUGCUAGAUCGGUGGAUGUUCAGGAUCGUGGAAGCACUGACGAAACCAAACACCAGAAGCGUACGAUGAUGCAACUGGAUCAUGCAGUUAUCGUGUCCUCAUUCGCAUAUUCAUUCCGUGUCCCCAAAGCAUUGGAGAUCAAGUCAGAGCCACUGGAGAUUCAAUUCAAACUACAAGAGACAGUCGAUUUGGAAAGCCCUGAUCGACUUCCAAGAUUUUGUGUCCGAGUUGACUGGUGUUGUAGCCUUGUUGUUAUUGGGAUAGACUUUGUACCUGACUUUAUACAUGCAGAAAUCAAACAGACACAGUACCUCUUGCAAAAUGGGGGCAUCCCUCUUGAUGUUGUAAUAGAAAACGUUGUCGGUAUAUACUGGUUCUAGUUUAUGCACUAUCAUCUUCUUUUUGUGAGCAUUUGGAGAUAAAAAGAUUGUCUGAUGACUAUAAUUUUCUUUCUAUAUGAUGAGCAAAGUCUCGCAACACAUGUAUGACCGUCUAGUCCUCCAAAGUUACCGACAGGUAAUCCCAAAGAGAAGUUAGGUGUUUACCGAUUUUAGAUGGUGUGUGAUCCAUGACAGGAUUAGUGAAUAAAAAAAACAAUGAUCUUCAGAAGGAAAAGAAAGGGUAGUCAGUCCCGCAACACAUGCGAAUCAUCUCACCGGACUCGGCAAGGUGGCGACGGUGUCUCUCUGCAUUCUUGAGCAACCGUUCACAGACGACAAGCCGGAGGAAUUGUCUAACCCGCUGAGUGCCUUCCCAUCGCGAAAUCGUAUAUCCAAGGUUUCUAUACAUGACCACCUCCACCUCAUCGGCAAAGUCUUCUUGAAAUCCUUCCAGGGCCUGGCCCAAACAUACGGCCCACUCAUCGGAUUCAUAUUGGCUUUGCUUGAAAACAUUUUGAUGAAGUGUAGGAGGAAGUGAGGAGUAAAUAAAUUGGUACGAUGGGUGAGUUCGUAGGACGCGCGGCGUGUUGUAGGUAGACUCCAACGGCUACUUACAACACGCCGCGCGUUAUAAGUGAGCAGAAUGGUCAUUUCAUGUAAUUUACGUUUUGAGUUGAUUAUCUACGUAAUUUUCGAUUUCAUCUUGCCUAAAAAAAUUUCCGAAACUAGAAAGAGUAAGGGAAAAUCUCGACUCUCUUAUUCUCUAAUCAAGAGUAUUAAUUUUUUUUUUUAUAAUUAAGUAUUAAAUUAUAUAUAAAACUUUGUUGAUUUCUUAAUUCAGCUAAUAAUACUUGAAAUUAUGGUCUAUUAUUUAUUUAUUUAUUUAUACUAAAUAAUCUAACGAAUUUAAAUUUAUAAUCAAUAUAUGUUAGCAAGUACCAAUAAUAAAUUUAAUUCAAAUAAUCUAAAUAUAGGGAAAAAAAGCACCCAUAGAACAUUCCAUUUUGGUUUAACUAAUAUUUUAUUAUUGUUGUAAGUUAGUAUUAGGUUAAGAAAAUGUGUUUAUUGCUCAUCAAGAAAAUAUAUUGGUUAAUUGAUCACUCUAUAAAUUAUUGAUUUAAAAUUAUUUCAAUAUAUAUUUCGAUUCUGAUUCAAUUAUUGGCAUGAAUAAUUAAUUAUCUGUUAGUGGUAUCGAAACCAACCGUCUAGCUUCAGCCCCUCGUCAAAUCACAACAAUGACCGGAGUUACCCCACCACCCACAAAUAAGUCAUCGGUGGCCCCACCGGUUUCCGCCGGAACCAAACAAAUUUCUGUUUGUAUAUUAGGCGUCAGAUUCCCGUAGCAAGCUACCAAACAUAAACGAUCAAACAAUGGGGCACGCUACUAUUCCGGUGAUAGAUCUCUCGAGUCUUGUGAAGCCGGAAACUGAGUCAUGGGUUUCUACUCGGGCCGCGGUCAAAUCGGCCAUGGAAGAGUACGGCUGUUUCCAGGCUACAUACGACGUCGUCGUCGACCGAGAGGAGGUCGACAGUACUCCGAUAUUCAAGGCGAUAGAAGAGCUGUUCGAUCUUCCCGAGGAGAUUAAAAUCCAAAACACCAGCACCAAGCCACUUUUCGGAAGCUCGGUGAGGAGCGAUGCCAACCCGCUCUUCGAGACGCUUGCGAUCGAUAACCCGACUAGCGUCGAGGCCACUCGGAGCUUCACCAACCUCAUGUGGCCGGCUGCCGGAAAUGAUGGCUUUAGGUAUGUAUUCAUUCAAUAUUCCAUCUCCCUCUCUUCAAGUCGUAUUAAUAUUAUGAGGUAGUGAUGUUUCGCAUUUAUUUCAAAUUAAAAACAUAUUAUAUAUUAUAUAUAUUAUAUAUUAAGAGUCUCAAAUUUUUUGAAUUUUGAUAAGUUAUGUGUGUUCAAUUUUGGUUAAAUUACAAAAUCAUUAGCCGUAACCGAAUAUCGACACUAAUUCAAACUACCAAAUAUAUUCAUAGUUAGUUUAUAUAAUAUUCAAUAAUUAACGAGGUAUCAUUAUAUUUGUAGCAAGACAAGUCUUUCAAUAUCAAAAAGAAUGGCGGAGCUACAUGACAAGGUAUUGAAGAUGGUGAAGGAGAGCUACAACGUGGAGUUGGGGUUUCCAGACGAUUCCAUGAAUUACUUACUUCGGUACUUGAAGUAUCACACGCCACCGCUGAACCACUCCGACGUUGGUCUCCGUGCUCACUCCGACAAAUCUUUUAUUUCAGUCAUCCAUCAGAACCAUCUCAACGGCCUGCAGAUCCAACUUCCUGACGAGACACAGAGAUGGGUUGACGUUGACCUUACGUCACCGCCGGCCGGGUCCUUCUUUGUUCUCGCCGGAGAUGUUCUCGUGGUAAUUAAUUAAUUCGCAAUCUAUUAUACAUAAUACAUGCAUAUAUAAUAUUAUAAUGUAUUAUGACAUGUCCGUGAAAGGUCCUUUAAAAAGUUAAAAGUUAAAAAUACUAAUUUUGAGUUAAAAUAGUUUUGCACAAGUCUUUUCGAGUACGGUUAUUGAUAAGCGAGUCCGAACUGGUCAAAAGAGAUCAUCAAUUUGGCUUAAUUUAGCAUGUGAGUAGCCUCUAGUUCGAGAUAUCCAAAACUCUGAGUUUAUGUUAAAACUAACAAAAAAUUUAAUCUCGCUGAGUGUAUCUCUUCAAACUAGACUAGAGUUGAACCAUUAUUUGAAAUUAAUUAUUAUAUAUGGCUAUUUUAAAUUAGAGAGAAUAUGGACUUUAUUAUUUUAUCUCAAGUACUAACAUAUAUGUAAAAUUUUGAUAAUUUCAUAAUUUGACUAAUGAUAUUCGAAACUCUACUCCUCUACUUAUUAGUUUAGAUUAAAUAAUCAAUCAAAUUUAAAUUUAUUAUUAAUAAGUUAUACUUAUAAAUAUAGUUUAAACACUAAAUGUAGGAAAAAACGGUGGUGGCACAUUCAAAUUUAUUUUAACUAUAAAAUAAUUCAAUUACGUUUAAAAUUAUAUUCAUUGCUAGUUGAAGGAAAACUAUCCAAAUGUAUUCAUCGAUAACUAUUCAAUACACAAAAAUUCAUUUAGAAUUAUUAAUAAAAAACGUUGUCAUAAUUAACUUUUAAAUUUGAAAUUCCGUCUAGAUUUCUAACCAUCAUGGUUUCGUUAAACUAUGGUAAACCUGAUAAAUUAUGAACUAAUUAUAUUGAUGAUUCUGAAACUUCAGGCAUGGAGUAACGAAAGAAUACGAAGCUGUGUGCACCGAGUGAUAGUGCAAAGGGAGAAAGAAGACAGUAGGUAUUGUGUGACACUGUUUAGUUAUGUGGAGAGGGGGAUCGAGAUCCAGUCACCCGAUGAGUUCGUGGACGAAGCUCAUCCGUCGAAAUACAGACCGUUCGAUAACUUAGGAUAUCUUGAUGAGGUCCUAAAGAGCGUGAUGAUGAAUCAGCCUAUACUUACCAUCAAGGACUACUGUGGGUUAUAAUAUAAUCAUCUUGAUGGCGAUGAUGGCGAUGGAGGUCGUGCAUGCUUGGGAGAUGGCACAACAACGGAAUAGGAGGGGAGUUCAGGUGGAGCCGAUGAUAGAUUGUGGAGAUGGCAUCCACCCUCUAACCAUGAAGUUAAAUGUAAGAUGCAGCUUUGUUUCCGGAGUAGGGAGAGAUGGGAGUUGGUCUGUGUUUGCGUGAUAAGCUGGAUAUGAUGAUUCUAUACCAAAUGAAACGACGAAGGGGGUAGUACUAGUCAGGAAUGCGAGGCUCUAGCGAUGAUGGAGGGUUUGUGAUGGUGUGUUACGUUGAUUGUGUUAUUUUGGAGUUUGAUAUUAAUGCAAAUAUGGUGUAGGACAGUUUGGAGUUUGAUGAUAUCAUUGGGCGUUGUCGGGAUAUUUUUGCUUCUAAACCGAAUUAUACGGUUAGUUUUGUGCGGAGGGAUUGUAAUAAAAUUACUUAUAUAUGUUUUGGUUAGGCAAUUUAAAUUACUCCAAUCUUCUUCUUUAGGGAUGCAUGGCACCUCUAUAAUUUUUUUUAAUUCUUUGAAUAAUGUGUUUUGAUAUUCAUAAUCAACAACAUUUGCUUCUCUAACUUGGUAUAUUGUUUUCUUCCAUGGUCACGACGUACAAGAUAUAUAAUAAACUAGUACAAUUCCAUAAUAUUAUGUUGUACUAAAACAAUCAAAAUUUUGGAUCAUGUUAGUGUAGAGAAUUGUUGCAUACUUGCAUCCCUAUGAGACUCGAGUUUGCACUAGGGUCCACCAUACCUCGUGCAACUGAAAUAGUUAUUCUCGUGCAGUUAUAAGUUAUGAUACCAUGUAGAUGACAUAGAGUUGCAGGAGCUGGAUGUGGAUGUUUCGGUCAUGUUAGGUAGAGAAUUGUUGUAUUCUCGUCAUUCGAGUUGUAGAGCUCAAGUUAGAGUUGGAUUUUAUAUAUAACAUCCAUGCUCCCCAAAAACGAAAUCUCAUAAAAUGAGAAUGGAGUUUGUAUAGGUCUGCAAAGCCUCGUGGCUGUUGCAACUAGAAUAGUUAUUUUUGCACGGGGUCAAAGGUUUUGAUACCAUGUAGAGAAAUUAUUGGGAGUUGGAUUCAGAGUUUGGUUUAUAUGACAUUCCUUAAUAGCUUACCAAGUUCUUGUGCCUUGUUGAUGAUCGUGGAGUUCUAGAGGACGUUUGACUAGAAUUACAGCAUUGUUUAGUGUAUCGUUUUCAGGGACUGGGGAUCAUACCUAUGAGCGCCGGCUGCGCCUUGCUGGACCAUUGCUGAAGGAGAACAUUGCUACCAUGGUACUAGAAAGGUUAAAGAUUCUCUAUUUCGCAAGUAGUCCUAUUUGGAUGAGAUUAACCAUGUUGUUAUCGUGACAUGACUAUAAAUUAUGCGAUUUUGCAGCCCUUUCUAUGGACAAAGGCGCCCGAUGCUGCAGCAAGGUGCCAAGCUCUUAUGCGUCAGCGACUUGCUUCUUUUGGGUAGGGCGACAAUUGAGGAAGCACGUAGUCUCCUACACUGGUUAGACUACGAAGCAGGUUUCGGCAAGCUUGGUAUUUGUGGUCUUAGUAUGGGUAAGAACUAUAAAGAAGAUUCGAAAAUUGUUCUCAUGUUUGGUUCAUGCUUACUGCCAUCUAGGUGGCGUCCACGCUGCGAUGGUUGGAUCGUUGCACCCAACACCUGUUGCAACUCUCCCUUUCCUUUCUCCACACUCUGCCGUUGUGGCAUUCUGCGAGGGCAUACUACAACACGGCACUGCUUGGGAGGCCCUGAGAGAUGACCUUCUCGCGGAACAAAAGGAUUCAAUGACGCUCGAGGAAGUUAGAGCACGAAUGCGCAAUGUGCUCUCUCUCACAGACGUCACACGAUUUCCAGUCCCAAAGAGUCCGAACGCAGUUAUUUUUGUCGCUGCAACUGUAAGUAAAUAACUUAGCCUUUAUUAACAGAAUCUCGUUAUAACUCAUUAACCAUGCUGCAAUUACUUCUAGGAUGAUGGCUAUGUCCCCAACUAUUCGGCUUUGGAGCUGCAGAAGGCUUGGCCUGGAUCAGAGGUGAGGUGGGUUAAAGGUGGGCAUGUUUCGUCGUUCAUCCUUCACAACAGUGAGUUUCGGAGAGCGAUUAAAGACGGGCUUGACAGAUUAGAAUGGAAAGAAUCUACAUUGUGCUGACAGGGAAGUGUAUAUCAGUGCAAGAAAGUUAACUAAUUUAUUUGAUUCCAGUUAUCUUGUUCUUUGACCUGCUCCUCCUCCUCCCUGAACAUUGUCCCGUCUUAACCGCCAUAAUUGUCACCCUUUUCGAUGAGUGAAAGUCGACGAUGUUGGGUGUCAAGUUGAUUCUUUUGUUGUACAAAAACUCCAAUCUGAAAGGAAUUGAAACACGGGAUUGCAUUUGAUUUGUCGCCAUGUUCAGUUCUGCCCUGCUUCUUGUAACGUAUUGUACUUGUUAUUUCGCUGCUCUCAUGGUAUGUGAUCCAUGAAUCCUGAUUUUCUGAUCACACCAUAAGUUGAAGAAGCUUUGAUUUUGAGCACAGAAACUCGUAGACGAUUCAGUUUCGAACACCCGAACAUUUUUUAUACACGACACUCGAAAAUCAACAGCUUCCACAUAAUAAUAUUGUUACACAUAAUGAACAAAUGUAGUUUAUAAUUUAGCUACUGUCUCGAGAAGAUAAUCUCCCAAAACGAAUAUUUUGCUAUUGACCGUUACGUCCCCAGAACAUGCCAUGGUCUCAAAACAAGGACAUCCUCCUCGUGACUGGACUUUGCCAAAAUUGGAGCACAAAAUAUUGAGAAUAGGCUUCUCGUGAGACCCAUGGGCCGAUGCCCAGCCCGAUAUAAUUAAAACCUAUGGUUUAUAAAUUGUUGUAGGGUUUUCAAAUCUCGUAAAAAAUUUCCAGCAUUCGACUCCUGAAGGCGGCAGCAAGCUCUCGCUAAGGUUAGUGUUCUUCUUCUCCGCGUUUCACCGAUCAUCAAUCUUCCAGAGCUUCCGGAUUUCGAUCGUUGUGAUCUGACAGUUGGGUUCUUCUGUCUGCAGUUCAGGAUUUCUCAGUGAUCAACCACAAGCAAAAAUGUCAGGGUAUGUAAAAUGAUACGAUUCAAUGCUUUCUUCAUUGCCUUUUGAAUCCUGCCGCACAAGUAUUGCUCGUUGUACAUUUCUUGAGAUGGGGAUUUCAGAAUUAGGAAGUGUUGUGGAGUUCUUCAUGGAAUGAUUUUUUCCGAAUGUUUGUGAAAUUUGCAGUGAAGAGGUUGCUGUUCAACAGCCAGAGGCUGCCCCUGCCGCUGCCCCAGCAGCUGCUUUGGGUGAGCCGAUGGACUUGAUGACUGCGUUGCAGCUUGUUCUGAGGAAGGCACUUGCUCACGGUGGUCUUGUAAAAGGGCUUCACGAAGGUGCUAAAGUGAUCGAGAAGCACACUGCUCAGCUUUGUGUAUUGGCAGAGGACUGCAACCAGGCUGACUAUGUUAAGUUGGUGAAAGCUCUCUGUGCUGAUCACAAUGUUAACUUGAUGACUGUUCCCAGCGCCAAGACCCUCGGUGAAUGGGCAGGGGUAAGCUAUUUCUCUUUAGACUUUGAUUAUUGGUAGUUGGUUGUGUGGAUUAUGAUUAUUGCAAAUCCAUUUUGUUCUAGGUUCAUCUGCUGUUGCAUUGUUAUUAAUCUGUAACGCAUUUUAGUACUUUAAGACUCCAAUUCUGUAUGGAACUGGUAAAUUUUCACGUGUUGGUUUAGCUUAGUUGCUUGAAAUGCGUUUUGAAUAUUUAGUUCAGUUCCCUGUCUACAAUUAGAUUACAUGUUCUUGAUCGUGGAUACAUCGUUGGCUAUAAAAUUGUCGAGAACAAUCUGUUGACGUGUUUUAGGAUAUAUGACUGCCUUUGAUAACUUGGUAAGUUAACUGUUGUGUUGCAGCUAUGCAAGAUCGAUUCGGAAGGGAAAGCGAGGAAGGUUGUGGGAGCCUCCAUGGUCGUUGUUAAGGUAUGUAUAGGUCUCAUAUCAAGAGCAGUCCUAGAUUGGAUUUUCCGUAUUCCUCGCCAUUAAUGAUCCUCCAUCUAAUGCUUGCUGGUGUGGGGCUUUGCAGGAUUUCGGUGAGGAAAGUGAAGGACUUAACAUUGUCCAAGAACAUCUGAAAUCUCAAUAGAUAGUUUACCAAAUGCACGAAUGAGGUUAAGGCCUAGGCGUCGUGGCUUGGUUAUGCCAUCUGGUUAUAGAGUGAAAGACCUGUUCUUUUCUGCAUAAUGAAUGAUGUUGGAUACAACUUCAUCGUCUUCUCGUUAUUCGUUUUUGGUUUGCCGUGUAUGUUACUGUGAUUUUGAAGCAACGAGUAAUUGAGCAUCUAGCUGUUUUGUUCGUGAAGAUGAAACCUAUGCUUACUCGAAUCAAGCAAACAUAGAAAAGAUCGAGAAGUAAGACGGACGGAAGCAAAAAUUGGAAUAACACUAAAUAUUUCUUGGUGCAGUUUGAUAAUACUUGCAAGAUCAAUAUUUCACGGGACACGUACUUGGCUACCUGACUUCUUCUUCACCUUGACGGCUGCCCCCUGUUUCUUAGCUUCGCCUUUUACGGGAUUAGCUACUUCUAAUUGUUUCUUUACUUCUAAUUGGUUACAGGAUUUUGCAACUAUUGUUUGUUACAUUGAGCAUUAAUGAAAUUCAACAAAAUAUUAAAAAAAAGAUUUAUACUACUUACAAGUAGAGUGGCUGGAAAACUAAAAUUCCAAACGGGAUUCGGCUCUUCGAGUUGUAGAGACUAGUACAUCGCAUGACGAUUUCUUUCUUGUUUGAGAGUUUUUAGGGUUGCGGUUUAGAAUGAACUGAAUGCAAUGAUGACAAGAAGUCUUUGCCUUCAUACUAAGUAGACUUCCCAGGGCUCUCCGUCGGCAUUCUCACCAAACCGAAUACCAAAACACCGGUUCAGAUCAAUGGCUCGCUCAAUGUUUGGCAACCCGAAAAGCUGGAUCUGUUUGCAGCAAUGAUUGUACUAACACAAGACGUUGACAACAACCCUAGUGGUAAAUUGGUAAUGCGGCAGUGGGGAUGGGAGAUAGAGUAUUGGAAUUGCUCAAGUCGACAUCUUUGACUUCAUUUAUGGCCGACUUUCUCCAUGGACAGACUAAUAUAGUAAUAUUUGCUACAUGAACAGAAAUUAUUGGAGCUGGAGUUAUUGUCUGUGUUAGUUUCUCUGGAAACAAACAUACGUACGCUGAGUCAAUCCAGCCCCACAAGACUGAUGAAUUGAAAUCACAUGCCUGCACCAAAUCAAUGGCGAAAGAGAAAGGACAAGAUCACGAGAAGAUCGAAUUCGAUUUCCCUCUCUAUAAAUUCAAUUCCUUCAUAAUUAACUAAUACCCGAUUCAGAAAAAUGAAAAUGAGAGGAAUCGGAACCGGAAUCCUUACCUUCUGCAGGCUCUUCCUCGCCGCCGCACUACUUCCGAUCACCUUUUCCAAAACCGAACGAUGUAACCCACAAGACAAAGCAGCGCUCUUCAACAUCAAGGAAAGCCUCGGCAACCCUUACCUCUUAGCCUCAUGGACUCGUGACUCCGACUGCUGCACCAGCUGGUACCAAGUCGAAUGCGACCGGACCACCAACCGGAUCACUUCCCUCACCAUCUUCGCCGGCGAACUCUCCGGCCAGAUCCCUCCCGCAGUGGGGGACCUCCCUUUCCUCGAAACGCUCGUCUUCCGCAAGCUCACCAACGUCACCGGUACAGUCCAGCCGGCGAUCGCCAAACUCAAACGACUCACGUUCCUCCGGCUCGACCAUUUAAAUCUAACUGGUUCAGUCCCUGGUUGGCUUGGCCAGCUCAAGACACUGACCUUACUCGACCUCUCGUUCAACUCGUUCACCGGCUCGAUCCCGGCGGAGCUUGCUAACUUGCCCAAUCUGGAGUCGCUCUACUUAGAUAGGAACAAGCUUACCGGACGGAUCCCGGACUCGUUCGGAAAAUUCUUGAAGUUCCCGUCGCUGUCCCUCUCGCACAAUCAGUUGUCCGGCGAGAUCCCGGCGUCGAUGGAGAAUUACAACACUGAUUACUCAAUCGAUCUGUCGAGGAACCGAUUAGAAGGCGACGCUUCGCUGUUGUUCGGCGGUGACAAGAGCGUGCUGUUCGUGGAUAUAUCGAGGAAUCUGUUCGAGUUCGAUUUCGGGAAAGUGGCGGCGUUUCCUCCGAACAUGACGAAUUUGGAUGUGAAUCAUAACAAGAUCUACGGGAAGAUUCCGGCGGGGUUGGUGAAGCUGGAUCUGCAGUUUUUUAAUGCCAGCUAUAAUCGGUUGUGUGGGGAGAUUCCCGCUGGCGGGAAGUUGCAGAGCUUCGAUUCCACGGCUUAUUUCCAUAACCGGUGCCUGUGUGGAAGCCCGCUUGAGCCCUGCAAGUGAAGAGCUGCUGGGUUGCUAGCUCUGAGUCAAUAACCAGAACCUGGUUCAACCGAAUAUUUACGUUGUUCAAUAAAGCGGAUUGAGAUUUGGUUUUACUAGCCCGUUUAAAGAUGAUUAGGUUUUAUGUACCAAUUCACCCAUUCGGAUUUAAUUACAUCAUAUAUCACUGAAUUUUAACUCUUCCACACUCACCAUUAAAUUUUAUUUAGGGCAGCCGAUAUUAUUAAAUUUUAAUUUUAAUUUCAUCGAUUAUCAUUUCGUUAAAAUAAUUGACAGAAAUCUGAUAUCGACGUUGCCCAAUCAUACCAAAUGCUGACAUGGACGCCAUGUUACAAUAUUUUAAGUUUUAAGUUGAAAACUCAAAACGAACCGGUUUUGUUCAUGAACCAAAACGCUCUCAUUACAAAGUACUGGUGUUGCUCACUUCUCCAUCAUCUUACAACUGUAAAAAAAAAAACAGAAGAUUGAAUGUUUUAAUUCAUCUCUGUUACAACUUACAUGAACAUGGUUGCAGAGCUAAUAAAGGCAACUGAACUUUUUAUGAAAACUCUUACUUCAUCAUCUCUUCCUCCUUCUUGUUUAUCUCUAAAUCAGCUGAACCGAUCUCAAAUCCUCCAGAUCCCAGCUCAGUGCCAAACCCAGAUGACCAACAAUUACAACUACAUCAAUCCUCUGGUAGUGAAUCCUUCCCCGAUGAAGCGACCCUCUUCGACAGCCGCUAAGCCGCCGACAAAGCUCUACCAGGGAGUGAGUCAACGCCACUGGCUCAGGACCUUCCAGACUGCCGAAGAAGCUGCUCUUACAUUAAUUGGUUCACUAGCUGCUCGAGACCUUGAGUAGCUGGUUGGUUUUCGUAACUAAGGCUGGCCAUUUGUGCUACCAGGUUGCUUGGUUGGUGGCCGCGGUGGUUGUGUUUAACCAUGGUGGUCAGAGGAAUAAGUAAGAAUUUAACCAUGGUGUUGUAUUUUAGUUUAUAGGUAAACGACGCCGUUUAAAUUUUUUAAUAAAAAUAUAAGUAAAAUUCUGACGUGAUAGAGGUUAACGGCCAAUCAGUCCACAUCAGAUGUCUGUCAAUCAUUUUAACGGACUGAUAGUCGAUGAAAUUAAAGUUGAACUUUAGUGGUAUCAAAUGCACUAAAUAAAGUUUAAUGGGGAGUGUGAAAGGUUUUAAAAAGUUCAGUGGUAUAUCGUAUAAUUAAUUCUAUCAAUAUGUUUUAUUAUUGUCCAUAUAUUUAAAUGUAUGGUAAAAUAAUUUGGUUCCCAUAAAAUUGUAUAUGAUCAAAGGUAUAAAAACACAAUUCAUGUAAUGACAGCUCAACNNNNNNNNNNNNNNNNNNNNNNNNNNNNNNNNNNNNNNNNNNNNNNNNNNNNNNNNNNNNNNNNNNNNNNNNNNNNNNNNNNNNNNNNNNNNNNNNNNNNNNNNNNNNNNNNNNNNNNNNNNNNNNNNNNNNNNNNNNNNNNNNNNNNNNNNNNNNNNNNCUUCAAAUAAUAAUUAAAUAAAAUUAAAAAGUAAUUUUUAUAAUUUUUUAUUAUUGUUGUUAGUAAAAAUGUAUAUGGAGUUGUUUAAAGGAUUCUCAAUAUAAAUUAGAGAUUGCUGCCUCUAAAAAAAGAAACGUAUAGGACGCUUAAGGCUAAUAAUCCCUAAACCCUUCCUGCGCCGAAAACGGCUUGGUUAUUCGACUCAGAACUCAAUUUUUGGCGACCCUAACUUAAGUACAGUUGGUCGUGUUUUUUUUCUACCAUAUUAUGCUUCAUUCUACUUUCUCUGCAAAAGGCUAUUCAAGGUUUAUUUGAACAUGGAAAGGUAUGAACUGUUCCUCUCGUUUCCACGAAGCAAUGAAGGUUGACUGUCGGGUUUUUCUCGGCAGAUGGUUUGUGGUCGUGGGAUUGGACUGUUCUCCCUCGCCUCUUGUUUCUGAUUAAUUUGUACAGCUAGUGGUUAUGCGAGUUGCAGCGUAAUGGCGGCUGUGGGGAUCGAAGGUGUUAUCUUUGUCUUCAUCUUUAGCUCUCUUAAUAUUGUUAUAUAUUCAGUUACUUCAUCAACUAUUACCAACUCGGAAAACAUAAUGGGAAUAAUCAGAAUCGGAAAUCUUACCUUCUGCCUGCUCAUCCUCGCCGCCGCACUACUUCCGACCACCUUCUCCAAAACCGAACGCUGCAACCCGCAAGACAAAGCAGCGCUCUUCAAAAUCAAGCAAAGCUACGGAAACCCUCGCCUCUUAGCCUCCUGGACUCGCGAUUCCGACUGCUGCACCAGCUGGCACCAAGUCCAAUGCGACCCCACCACCAACCGAAUCACUUCCCUCGGCAUCUUCGACGGCGAACUCUCUGGCCAGAUCCCGUCAGCAGUUGGCGACCUCCCUUUCCUCGAAGCGCUCGUCUUCCGUAAACUCACCAACAUCACCGGCCAAGUCCAGCCGGCGAUCGCCAAACUCAAACGCCUCAGGGUCAUCCGGCUCGACCAUUUAAAGCUGACCGGUUCGAUCCCCGCUUGGAUCGGCCAGCUCAAAUCCCUGACCAACCUCGACCUUUCGUUCAACCACCUCAGCGGCUCGAUUCCAGCGGAACUCGCUAACUUGUCCAAUCUCGAGUCGCUGUACUUGAUUCGGAACAAGCUCACCGGCCCGAUCCCGGACUCGUUUGGCAAAUUCUCGAAAUUCCCGUCGCUGUACCUCUCGCAGAACCAACUCUCCGGCCCGAUCCCGGCGUCGAUGGCGGAUUACAACGCCGAUUUCGAAAUCGAUCUGUCGAGGAACCGAUUGGAAGGCGACGCUUCGCUCUUGUUCGGCGGUGACAAGAGCGUGCUGUUCAUCGAUAUCUCGAGGAAUCUGUUCGAGUUCGAUCUGGGGAAAGUGGCGGCGUUUCCUCCGAAAAUGAUGAAUUUGGAUAUGAAUCAUAACAAGAUCUACGGGAAGAUUCCGGCGGCGUUGGUAAAUCUGACGAAUUUGCAGUUUUUCAAUGCCAGCUAUAAUCGGCUGUGUGGAGAGAUUCCCGCCGGCGGGAAGUUGCAGAGCUUUGAUUCUACGGCUUAUUUCCAUAACCAGUGCCUGUGUGGAAUCCCGCUCGAGAGCUGUAAGUGAAGAACUGCUGGGUUGCUAGCUGAGUCGAUUGGUUGAACCAGAACCUGGUUGGUUCGACAGAAGAUUUAGGUUGCUGAAUUUGUAUUUAAGUCCGGUUCGAUACAUGUUUAAAUUUCUAUUUUAAUUAAACCGUAUUAAUAUUUAACGUACUAAAAUUAUCAUUACAAAUCUAAACUCCUUAAAAUCUAAUUUCUAAACCCCUAAAUCGGGAAACAUCUUCAGAGUCGAGCCCUCCAUAUCUCGUCGCCCGCCAGUUGCCAGCCGCCUUCCGUUGAACAGCAGUCGCCGUCAACAGCUCCGUCGAAAUCUGAUAAUAAGCCCCUGUACUAAGACUCUAGUUAUAGAGAAAAACAAGUACAUUUAACCAGAAAACAAGUUGAAAUGAAAGACUUUCAACCUGAAUAUAAAGACUGGUGAUAAGGUCCGUUCCGUUGCGGUGAAUCGGUUCUUCAACGGUCUGGAUUGUUUCAAUUGAAGAAGUAUAUUCUAACUUCUUUGGAGAAAAACAAUCGGUUCUUCAAAGUAUCGAUCUCAAUUUCGCGCCUUGGUUGUCAUAUACUCGACAAAUCAGCAACGUCAAUCACUCCGCCGUCAUCGAAACAAAUAUCCCUAAUAGAAAAGCUUAUAAGUAUAAUCAUCAAUCAAUUAUCCAAAAUAAUAAAUUUAUUAUUCAAAUUCAACUUAAUGCAUGUUUCAAUCGUGAAUCCGUCGUGACUUAUCGGGCACCAGGUUUGUGCUCGUGGGAUUGGAAUUUCUCCUCGUACAGCUGUUUAUAUUAAUAUACACUCUAGUGGUAAUGCGAGCUGCCGCGUCUUUGACUUCCUUCAGUAUUGGCUGACUUUCUCCGUCGACAGACUGAUACCAAAUCACAUGCCUUCCCAAUCACAUCCGAAAGAGAAAGGAAGAGAAGUUCAAAUUCGAUUUCCCUCACUAACAAUCACUGUAUAAAUUCAAUUCCAUCAUAAUUAACUAAUACCCAAUUCCGAAAAGAGGAAAAUGAGAGGAAUCGGAAUCCUUACCUUCUGCCGGCUCUUCCUCGCCGCCGCACUACUUCCGAUCACCUUCUCCAAAACCGAACGCUGCAACCCGAAAGACAAAGCAGCGCUCUUCAACAUCAAGGAAAGCUUCGGUAACCCUUACCUCUUAGCCUCCUGGACUCACGACUCCGACUGCUGCACCAGCUGGUACCAAGUCGAAUGCGACCGGACCACCAACCGGAUCACUUCCCUCACCAUCUUCGCCGGCGAACUCUCCGGCCAGAUCCCUCCCGCAGUGGGGGACCUCCCUUUCCUCGAAACGCUCGUCUUCCGCAAGCUCACCAACGUCACCGGUACAGUCCAGCCGGCGAUCGCCAAACUCAAAUGACUCACGUUCCUCCGGCUCGACCAUUUGAACUUGACAGGUUCGGUCCCCGGCUGGCUCGGCCAGCUCAAAAACCUGACGUUUCUCGACCUUUCGUUCAACCAGCUCACCGGCUCGAUCCCGGCGGAACUCGCUAACUUGCCCAAUCUCGACGCCCUCCACUUAGAUCGGAACAAGCUCACCGGCCGGAUCCCGGACUCGUUCGGUAAAUUCUCGACGUCGCUGUACCUCUCACACAACCAGUUGUCCGGAGAGAUCCCGGCGUCGAUGACGGAUUACAACACCGAUUUCGAAAUCGAUCUGUCGAGGAAUCGAUUGGAAGGCGACGUUUCGCCGUUGUUCGGUGGUAACAAGAGUGUGCUAUCCGUGGAUAUAUCGAGGAAUUUGUUCGAGUUCGAUUUCGGGAAAGUGGCUGCGUUUCCUCCGAACAUGACGAGUUUGGAUAUGAAUCAUAACAAGAUCUACGGGAAGAUUCCUGCGGCGUUGGUGAACCAGGAACUGCAGCUUUUCAACGUCAGCUAUAAUCGCCUGUGUGGGGAGAUUCCCGCUGGCGGGAAGUUGCAGAGCUUCGAUUCCACGGCUUAUUUCCAUAACCGGUGCCUGUGUGGAAGCCCGCUUGAGCCCUGCAAGUGAAGAGCUGCUGGGUUGCUAGCUGAGUCAAUCGGUUAAACCAGAACCUGGUUCGACCGAAGAUUUAGGUUGCUGAAUAAAAGAGAACUGAAAUUGGGUUUUAUUAUCCACGUUUGAAGUAUUUUUUUUCGAAAUUACGUUUGAAGUAAAUUAGUUUACUAAAAGCUAAGCUAAGUGCAUGUGAACGAUGAACCUACCGGUUAACCGUUUGAUAUUAGUUAUUGUUAUCGAAGACGAUUCGGUAUAAGAAUUACGUUGUUUUCGAUUAUACAUUACUACGGUAAAAAAAGGCAUAAUAAACAAGGAUUCUUGCGACGGAACGUAACAACAUGAACACUACCAAGAUUUACGUUCAAUGCUAGUUCAGCCUUCGAAUCUUGACACUCGUGCUUGUCCGGUUCGACUCUCGCUCGCACUCUUAACAACAUUUGAUUAUGUUCACGGCUAACUGUGAGUUGUGACCUCUAAAAUUCCACUAGGAACAAGAUUUCUAACCAAGCUAUAAUAAUGAAACAAAGUCAUAUGACGAUAAUGAUGAGAUCAAUGAUCCACCAAUAUUUAACUGGAAAAAGAGCUAAUGAACACUGCAUAAGCAUCCAUGAAACUGCAUAAUCUUCUGCCAUCUGUUUUGUUUUGCAAAUCUGUGAAAGUUUUUAAAAAGACAGAAAAGUAAUCUUUGACACCAUUCACAAGCCUUAUUAAAAAUCAAAGGAGAAUAAAGAUGAAGUAGGGGAGAAUAUCACAUAAAGCAUCUUUAUGUUGAAAUUUCAUAUUGACAGAGAAACCCUCUUGGCCUUUCUUCAAGCUCACUACUGAGCAAAAAAAAACCCAGAAAAAAGUAGGAAACUUGUCCUACAGAGACUAAAACAGCAGCCUAAGCUUUGCUUUUCUGUUGCUGCCCAUGCCCUUCAAAAGUAAAAGCUUUCUUUCUCUAUGUCAUGAAAACUUUGCAGAUGCAGGCACAAAGAAUCUGAAAAAGAUGAAGUUUGUAAACAUGGUUCAUGGGUUUACUAUUGUUAGCUGUGGUGAAAACAAAAAAAGAGCUGGUCUUUUCACUUGGUAUCCUAUGGAGCACCUUUGAGUGAUGAACAAAGAAAGAAUAAUUUAGUCUCUUUUUUCCUAAUUACAACUUUUGCAUACAGAACAAUGCUGCUGUAGCACAAUUACAACCAUGAAUAUGAUCGUUCUUUUCUUCUAACUUUUUCUUUAGAAAAUUUAUGAGAUUCCUUUGGUAUUCGAUCCGACCAAAAAGUCGUUAUGUUACACAGUUGGUAGUGGAACUGGAAGAUGCUUAAUCACUGUUCCUAAUAUGCCUCAGACUAUACAUCUAGGAAAUCAUGAGCUUAUUAUACGCAGAGGUACCUCUGGUUUCAGUAGGCAUUUUGGUGAAACUGGUGGCUUUCAUUUCCAAGUUCAGUUUUUGGAUUCUCUCAAGGGUUUGAACCAAUGAAGCCAGGAGCGCCGGAUACUCAAAAGGAGGACUUCAAGCUGAAGGACACCAAACCGCAGCUUGGAGAGCGAUGGCCCCAUGGAGGUUCGCGAGGUGGAGGAGGGUGGAUCAGCAGCGAAAGAGCCACGAGCACGUAUGAUCUGGUGGAGCAGAUGUUUUAUCUCUAUGUCCGGGUUGUGAAAGCUCGAGACCUUCCUCCGAACCCUGUAUCGGGAAGCUGCGACCCUUAUGUAGAAGUCAAGCUGGGGAACUACAAGGGGAAGACUCAGCACUUCGAGAAGAAAACCAACCCGGAAUGGAACCAAGUUUUUGCAUUCUCCAAAGAAAAGCUUCAGUCUUCAGUCCUUGAAGUUUAUGUCAGAGACAGGGAAAUGGUGGGGAGGGAUGAUUAUGUAGGGAAAGUGAUCUUUGAUAUGCAUGAAGUUCCCACCAGAGUCCCUCCGGAUAGCCCGUUGGCUCCUCAAUGGUACCGGUUGGAAGAUCGGAGGGGCGAGACCAAGGUGAAGGGAGAGGUGAUGCUUGCUGUUUGGAUGGGAACACAAGCGGAUGAAGCUUUUCCAGAUUCAUGGCACUCUGACGCUGCCUCGGUCCACGGAGAAGGUGUCUUCAGUGUGAGAUCAAAGGUUUACGUCUCGCCGAAACUUUGGUACAUCCGAGUUAACAUCAUUGAAGCACAGGAUGUCGAGCCACACGACAAAACACAGCAGCCGCAGGUGUUUGUGAAGGCUCAAGUUGGGCAUCAGGUGCUCAAGACAAAGCUGUGCCCAACAAAGACUCCGAACCCAGUAUGGAACGAAGAUCUGAUAUUCGUAGCAGCCGAGCCAUUUGAAGAACAGUUAGUGCUGACACUGGAGAACCGAGUAGCCCCUUCCAAAGACGAAAUCGUGGGGCGGAUUGUUCUUCCGCUACAUAUCUUCGAAAGGCGCCUCGACCACCACCGUUCGAUUCAUUCCAAAUGGUUCAACAUGGAGAAGUUUGGGUUCGGAGUCCUGGAAGCUGACAAGAGGCACGAACAUAAAUUCUCCAGCAGGAUACAUUUGAGAGUCUGCCUGGAAGGUGGGUAUCAUGUGCUGGAUGAAUCGACUAUGUACAUAAGUGACCAGCGGCCUACUUCGAGGCAGCUCUGGAAGCAGCCGAUCGGACUUCUGGAAGUCGGAAUCCUGAGUGCACAAGGACUUCAACCAAUGAAGAAGAACGACAGAGGAGGAUCCACAGAUGCAUACUGUGUAGCCAAGUAUGGUCUCAAGUGGGUGAGAACUAGAACCAUUGUCGAAAGCUUUAAUCCGAAAUGGAACGAGCAAUACACCUGGGAGGUUUACGAUCCUUGCACAGUGAUCACGCUCGGAGUGUUCGACAACUGCCAUUUGGGAGGUGGUGGUGAUGGAGGUAGUAAGAAUGAUACCAAAAUCGGGAAGGUGAGGAUCCGACUAUCGACUCUCGAAACGGAUCGUAUCUACACAAACUCGUACCCUCUCCUCGUUCUGCAGCCAUCCGGGCUGAAGAAGAUGGGAGAGCUCCAGCUUGCAGUCCGGUUCACUUGCCUAUCUUUAGCACAUAUGAUAUAUCUUUAUGGCCAUCCUUUGCUUCCAAAGAUGCACUACCUGCAUCCGUUCACGGUGAACCAGCUCGACAGCUUGCGAUACCAAGCCAUGAGGAUUGUGGCAACUAGGCUAGGGAGAGCCGAGCCACCACUGAGGAAAGAGGUCGUGGAGUACAUGCUGGAUCUGGAUUCACAUAUGUGGAGCAUGAGGAGAAGCAAAGCAAACUUCUUUCGAAUCGUCUCCCUCUUUUCCGGUCUUAUAUCGAUCAGCAAAUGGCUCGGUGAAGUCUGUAAAUGGAAGAACCCUGUCACCACAAUCUUGGUUCAUGUGCUUUUGUUCAUCCUGAUAUGCUACCCGGAGCUCAUUCUCCCCACCAUGUUCUUGUACAUGUUCUUGAUUGGAUUGUGGAACUUCCGGUUUCGACCAAGGCACCCUCCUCACAUGGACACAAAGCUGUCGUGGGCGGAGGGGGUUAACCCGGACGAGCUGGAUGAAGAGUUCGACACAUUCCCUACCUCCAAGGCGCAGGAUGUGGUGCGGAUGAGGUACGACAGAUUGAGGAGCGUUGCGGGGAGGAUCCAGACGGUGGUUGGAGACAUAGCAACACAAGGGGAGAGGUUUCAUGCACUCCUAAGCUGGAGGGAUCCUCGAGCCACGAGCCUGUUCGUGAUGUUCUGCUUCGUUACUGCUGUGGCGCUCUACGGAACCCCGUUCAAGAUAGUUGCUUUGGUUGCAGGAUUGUUUUGGCUGCGGCAUCCCAAGUUCCGCAGCAAGUUGCCUUCAGUUCCAAGCAACUUCUUCAGGAGGCUUCCAUCCAGAGCUGAUAGCCUGCUGUGAUCAGACAGACAAUACACAAACAUCAAGGAUUAUUGUUUCAUUAGGGUUUUGAAUGAUUCUAUGUAUCUUGAAGGCUUGAAAUGUAUGACGUACAAUCAAUAUGGUCAUGGCCAAACCAAAGAGUUAUACCUUCACCAAAUAAUGAUUAUGGAACAAGAACACUAUUUUGAAUCCUCAAGAUCAUUUUCCUGUUUCAAGUAUCAUUAAUCCAUUUUAGUAUUUCUUAUUUUUAAAUGUUUCCCACCACAUACAUACAAAAAUUAAGUUAAUUUUAAAAAAAUUAAACACUAAAAUAACACAAAAUAAAAUUAAUUUUUAACUUCAUUUUGUCAUUAUUUACAGGAAUUAUUAUAGAAAACUUGAUUUUAUAGUCAUUUCCAUACAUGCAUGUAUGUUAAAUAUUAGUCAAUUUAAAAAAAUUAAAUUUUUUUGUGUGAAAAUAGUCAAAUNNNNNNNNNNNNNNNNNNNNNNNNNNNNNNNNNNNNNNNNNNNNNNNNNNNNNNNNNNNNNNNNNNNNNNNNNNNNNNNNNNNNNNNNNNNNNNNNNNNNNNNNNNNNNNNNNNNNNNNNNNNNNNNNNNNNNNNNNNNNNNNNNNNNNNNNNNNNNNNNNNNNNNNNNNNNNNNNNNNNNNNNNNNNNNNNNNNNNNNNNNNNNNNNNNNNNNNNNNNNNNNNNNNNNNNNNNNNNNUUAUUAUACUUAUAGAGGCAUUUGUUGUAAAUUCUGAGUUAUAAUUAGGUCAAUGUGUCAUUUUGUACUCAAAUCACUCUUAAGAUUUUUAAAUCACACCAAAUUCAUAGUGAUUUCAAAUCACUCUCUUAAUCACCAUUAAAGCACAUGUGAAUUUUAAAUCUCCAUUAAUUUAAAAAAAAAAAAGAGAUUUUGUCUAAAUCACUUAGUCCUACCAAUUCUCUCCCAAAUCCCUCUCCAAAUCUCAAAUUCAAACAACCCCAUAAAGGUUUUUGUUAGGUUUUUUUUUUUAAUGGAAUUGUAUUGGUUCAUAUGUAGAUGUUGUUUGACAUGUGAGGUGAAUGGUAUUCUGCAUAUGUGAUACCCUAGAGUACGUGGAGUAUCCAUACUCCGAGAGUAUCGAAGUGUUCACCUAUAAUAUAUACAUACAACUUUACUUCCAUGAUUAAUAGAUUUUAUGGGUUAAUUGGUUUGGUAAUAUCAAAAUAAUUAAAUUGACAGCCCUAUUAACUUAUCAAGUAAGACGUUCAGAAUGCAUCCGAAUUCCGGAAUGUUCGAAGUGAGAAUUUUCGUCACAGUUCAAAUCGAAUCACAUAUUACUCGACUCGAGUCAAAGGGCGGAAACCGACUCUAUGCCUGGACAUAAAUGCAGGAGUUGAAAAGGCAAGCAAGCAUCGGGAAAGAGGAUUUUCUCCAUUCCCGAUGGCCGUGUAUUGACAAGCUUGGUGGGCCAGCUGUGCAUUGCUAUAUUUAGAAACUGGAAAAGGGCCUCGCCCAUGGGCCUCAAUAGCAGCUGGGCCCAUCACCGCCUACACCUAUAUUCCCCUCAAAUUCAGCUCCAUUCCAUAGCACAUUUAUUGUCUUUCGGAAUUUACCAUUCAAUCUACGGAACCACACAUGUACGAUGUAUGGCGUUGUUGGUUGCUCACUUUGUUUUAUAAUUAUUAGAUUUGAGAUUUGAGUCUCAUCUAUAUAAAUGAAGGAUGUCUUGUAGCGAUUUCAAAAUCGACAAGUUUGAAAUACCAAAACAAAUCAAUAUGUACAUCCAAAACACACUCUGAAACAAUUUAAAUAGUUCAAACUUACACACAGUCGAGCUACAUUUAUGUUGUUGCUGUGCUUUCUACAAGUAUUGAACCUUGGACUUUUGGGUUGAUUAGCAAAGUCAAUGAAGCCAUCAUAUCACAAGGCAACUAAUCAGUCGAGCUACAUUUUGAUAUUCAAUGUCGCAUACAAUUUAUUAAGGGCAGACCAACGGUGGAACUAGAAUAGUUAACGAUCUUAAAUGUGAUUUCAAAUUAAAAGAAAGUUAACUAUUACGAAAUUAAAUGACGGGCUUAUCAAAACAAUUGGGAUUUUGUUUGAGGUUGGAUGUAGUUUUAAUUUAUGAUCUGGCAUGUGUAGAAUGAAAAUUUCAUUCUCGAUUCUACGAGAAUUUUUAUGAAAGCCUUUUAUUUGCUUCUCUUUGAUGGAAAUUUGAUUUUCCCAUAAUGAAUUCUAAUUUUUGGCCUAAUUCUUCUUCUGAUGAUCGAUUCAACUUAGGAUCAAAAAGAUAUGCCUUGGCUCUGUUUCAUCUCUUUAACAAGUUUAGUAAUGAGUAGUAUAACGGCCCUAUUGUUCUGAUGGAGAGAAGAACCUAUGAUUAGCUUUUCGUACUCAGAAAAGUGUGAUUGACAAAUGAUCAAUCAUGUUGUGCUAUUACAAGCAUGUUCUAGCCUAUGUUAGGUGCCCUUUUGCUUGUUUGUAAAGUCAAAAAUGAAUUAAAAUUAAGAAACCUAAUUAAGAUUAAUUUAUAAGUCGAGAAAUGUAUGUGAAGUAAUCAUUUAUCCUUGAACUUGGAACGUACGGUAUAAUUUAGGAAUUUACAACAUUUCUAAAGUGUGAUGUUGAAUAAUGGAAAAAUGUGUUCGAAUUGUUGAUAUAAUCAAAGUCUACACUGUUUUGAAUUAUGCUUUGUUUUUCAUUCGGGCCAAAUUGGCCGGAUGUGAGAUUAAUGAUGGACGCACAACCAAUUUUAUAGGAUAUAUUUUCCGCAACCACAAAGCAGAAAAAAUGAAGAUGCCAUCCCUCGUCGAUUUGUUUAAUUACAUGGGUGGGUAGAAAAUUGAAGAUCGCCAAAUAAACCGGCUUGAGUUGGCAUAGUAAUGAAUCAUUUUCAAAUAUAUUAAUUAAAGAUGUCCAUAUAUAAAAAAACACAUGAUUAAGCUUGGCAUGAUCAAUCUUUAUGUUGUUAAACUACCCGAAUCAUUUGCAAAAAAGUCAACUUUUAAUUAAACUCUCAUUUAUUAAAUCUUUUUGCAUAAUAGAUAAAGAGAUCAAAGUCGAUGGUGUAGACUUGUAUCAGUCAAUCAUUAGUUUAUUGUAAAAGUGUAGGUCAAUAAUCUUUAACCGUACUCGACGCUUGGUGAGGGCUAAGUGAUUAUGGCCAGAAUCGUCGUCCAGAUCAUGACACAUGUUAUUGCAAUUUGAAUCUUUAAGAGACCAUAUAGAAAAGGUUCAUCUCAUUUAUAAUGAGACAUAUACUAUUCGCCUAUUCCAAAUGACUAACCUAGGGCUCAGAGGCUAUGUUGACCCAAACCAUUUAGGCUCAUAUUUACAAGCCUUCGCGCAACCGCAUGGUACCUCUCUUACUUACUUCAUCCACUUACUUCCACUCUCAAAUAUAUCUAUAUACUAACGGCUCAACACGCAUUGCUAAAAAAACACUAUGUGGACUAAAAAGGGGCCAUUAAAAGAACUAUUAAUCUGUCGCUUACACAACUCGACUCUCCAUCACCGAAUCACUCAUUGGAUGAAUUACUUGUAAUAGUUUUACGUUGACCAAACUGGCACAUCCAAUUAAUCAAUUUCAAAAAGUCAAACAAAUAAAUAAAUAGAAAUUGACUUUAAAAAGGUGGCCUAGCAGCAUGGGUUGUAUUAGCUAGGGUUAGUGAAACGAAUCUUAAGAAAAAAAAACUUAUACGGUGCCGUUGCUCAUCCAUUGAACCUGGCACGUCGGUUGUUCAAUCCCUCUUAUCUUUCAAACCUCAAGACUAAUUACCUUCUUAUAAUUAACUUGAUGAUACACUAUUUUUCCGAUUAAACCGAGACUUUGUCGUCAAUAUAAGGUAGAAGAUAAGUCAUUUCAUAGGGUGAUAAAUUCGAAUUCGAAAGUUGUAAGUCACCAGACACAUAACUUUACCAUCAGAACAACUCCACUUGAACCUUAACGAUACACUAUCAGAAUAUGAGUUAAUUAAUCAAAAAAGAAAAGCAAAAAACGUUUAUUACAUGUCCCAUUUUUUUUAAACCGUAUGUAUCGGGCACCAUACUAAAAAAGUUAAUGUGUUGAGGUUUGAUUGAACCGUAUAUAACAUUAAAUAAAAAUAAGCUUAUACCAGUAGUAAAAUACUAUUCAUAUAAUCAGAUUAUACCAACAAUAAAUAGAUCAAUUUGACUCUUCAAAGUUCAACCUACUUUAUUCCACUACUUACACUAAUAAUAAUAUAUGUCACACACUCUCCACCAAUCAAAUUCAACCGGUAAUAAAAUUGGGUAAACCACAAUUUUCAGCAAGCUUCAAUGUAUCGUAUUGGUCAGUUGACCAAUAUACGAUUCAACCGAGCAGUACGAUACAUUUUUUAUUAUAUAUGUAUAUAUAUAUCACCCAUUUGUAAUAAACUAUGGGUGAAAAUUAAACAACAAUCCAAAAAAUCAGAGCAUGCGGUAGGUUGAGGAGUUAUAAUACUCACUAUUCAUUAGAUUUGUGUCCCCAAUUNNNNNNNNNNNNNNNNNNNNNNNNNNNNNNGAUACAAACAGUAAGGAUUUUAUAUAUACUUGGUUGCUUAAUUAUGACAUCUAAGUGAUGUCAUCCUUAAUUGAAAACAUAUACUCGGGCUUAGCAUCAUUUUUAAUGUAAUAUUUGGUUGAAAAACUCUAAACACUAAAACAUGAUAUAAUCUUAAAGAAUUGCAAAAUUAUCGCUAGCAAAUCGGAUAAGACUGUUUGAAAAUAUACAUAUUUAAUUCAUCAAGUGUGCGUACCACGUAAAAGAAAUAUUUAUAUUCAAACUACUACCUUAAUAAUAUAAAAUGUUGUUAGGUUAUUUUACACCCAAGAGUUAAAAGAGAAUUGGAUGAUACUUAUAAGUGUGAGAGAAUUUUUUUAUAUCCUUUUGAGCUAAUUUUUGGGAUAAAAAGGGCCGAUAUAUAACACCCAAUAAUGAUAUUAGAGUGUAGGUUGACAAUACUUUUUUGGAUUCAGUUUGAUGAUGAUCCGGUCAGAGCCGGUAGAUGGGUAAUGUCUAUCGAGAAACUGAUGUGCGUGUGGGGGUAGGGGGUUAUUGGGUUAUCCCACAUCAAUUAGAUAGUGGAAGAGAUUGGAUGUUGUUAUAAGUGUAAGAGGAAAAUCUCACAUUUUAAGCUAACUUCUUAAAUUAAAAAUUCCAAUAAAACUCAAUAAGAAAAUGAAUUUCGAACCCUCGCAAUAAUUUAAAUUACAUUAUUAAGACGUAAAGGUUAUUGACGAGCAGGCAUGUAUGAAGCAGAAACAUGCAAGGAGGAAGGAUGAUCCAUCCAUACUUCAUGUGUGAAUAAUUUGUGAUGUAGCUUUGUCUUUGGUUGAUGUCAACGCAUUUUCAUGUACACGUACGUGAUCAGUGGACUUCAUAACGAGAUAAUAUGAUGCUAUGGGCUUCAUUUCUAGAUAUCCCAAUAGGCUAGGAAGAAAGCAUAUGUAUUAUGUAGUGUAGUCAUCUUCUUGGAAGUUUCUAGCUAGCAUGCUAGCCAUAUAGAGCUCAUUAUUAAUCCCACCAAGUGACUCAUGACGAUGAUGAUAUAUUACUUACCAACAAAAUUGGUAAGCGACAAAUCUAGUUUAUGGUACUUAAUCCCACACGAGUUUUCUAUUGUAGGAGUUGAUGUAAGUGGGUUCGAUUUAAAAAAUCAAUAUGAGUAUGAACUCGUCUCAUAAAUUUUAUUAGGGAUUGAGUGAGAAUCUUGCUUGAUCAGAGAAAAUAGUUUAGUAGUAAGUGGAUGAAUGUGCGAGGGUUAAGUGUUUAUAUAGAGAAGUAUCGGAUUGAUGUCCUUAUAAAAUGGAUAUAUAUAUAUAUAUAAUUGUUGUGAACUGAACAAUGACCCUCACACUCCUUUUAUACCACCUAGUGGCUCAAGUCCUCCACCCUAGGGCUUUUCGCUUUCCCUAUCUAGGGUUUUCAAAGAUGUCUAGGGUUAAGCUAACAGCUAACUGAAUCUCAUAAAGAACAGACUCUUUCAGAACAAUUAGGUAGGUCCGACCAAUUUUUUUGACUAAUCUGGAGUCAAAGGUCAUGAAAUAUAAUACAAUUUAAGACGAUAAACAUAAUUAGAUAGAUAUAAAAAAUACUAAAUCGAAUUUGAAUAUUAUUGAAGACGAUAAACUCUAUAAAUAAAUAAAAAUCAAAUCCGAUUUAAUAGUUCUCCAUAUAUUUUAAAUUUUUUGUGUAAUAAUAUAAAAAAAACAAGGGGAGUAACACAUAUCAUGACCGUGUGUAAACGUUUCCCAAACCCCGGGCCACAUAUCUACGUGUAAACUUCUGCAUGCAAAACAACCCGAAACAAACAACAGCAAGCGUUGGUCCGAACCGAAAAUAAAACAAAGCACCGAGGGCAUUCCCGUCACUUCGGUAGCCAGCCGAGGAGCAGGUCUUCAGUAGUAAAAAAGAACAAAAUGAGAAAUUAAUGAAGCGGUUUCUUUCUUUCCCAGUCUUGUUCUUCUUCUUCCCAAAUCUCUCUCCAUCUCUGUUUCUCAGUUUCUCUCUCUAGACCGCCGAAAAGAAAAGAUAUCUGGAAACGACAAAGUCCAUCCACCCACCCACAGUAGCAGCCUCUCUCAAGCCCUUAUUAUAACCAAAGCUCACAACUUUUUGGCCCGGGAGAAAAAACCCACAAGUCAGAUAAGAUCGGCCAUCCCACCGGCGGCGAAGUUCGUGGCCGGCCUGGGUUUGAAAGUUGAUGAGCUGGAAAGGGAUCAUUUGUAUGGCAGCAGCUAACAAAGUUAUGGAACAACAACAACAACAGCAGCAGCAGCAGCAGCAAAAUUACGAGUUUCAACAACAUCAAGACGGAGGAGGAGGAGGAGGAGGAGGAGGAGCGUAUGAUUUGGGGGAGCUGGAUCAAGCGCUGUUGAUGUAUCUAGAUGGACAACAGCAACAACAGCAGAAUGAUCCAACUGUUCAUAUUCUUCCACGUACGUGUCUUUUUUUAAAACCUUUUGACCAGAUCCUUUUGCUAUACCUGCAGAAGUGCAGAUCACAAUCUCUGGUACAGAAAAGAUUUUAUGUACCAGAAAGAGAGAAAAGAAAACCCUUGAAAUUCUCGUGAUCAUAUAUAUCCCUCUCCAGUGGGUCCCUGUACAUAUCUUUGUUGGGAAUUCACUCACGUUAUAUAAUUCAUAUGGUUUUUGUUUUGUUUUCUUGUUCUUCAGAUCACAAUCAACAAGGAGGUAUGAUGAGCAGCAGUACUAGUACCAGUACCAGGCCACCUCCAACUCUCAACAUCUUCCCUUCCCACCCCAUGUACACCAAGGUAAACUUAUAUACCGGCCGGCUGGUUGGUUUCAGCUGCACUCGCUAGUCCUUUUCGAGCUAGCAGUUCCCGUGGUCAUAUACGGGACUGGUUUCUGUUCCAUUAAGAAAAAUGAUCGAGAUGGUCCACUGGCUUAGGGUCGGAUAUCGAAGAUAUGUGACGAUUUUUUAUAAAUUCAAACCUGACUAAUUCUCUUAUCGUAGUGAAGCGAUUGUGACCGGAUUUUCAUGUUGUGGAAAUUUUUCUUCUGUUUUGUUAUUCUUUUUGCUGGUUGAUUUCUGUAUAUGGCUGAGUGGGAGGUUUGGUAUUAAUUUGGUGUGUGUGAUUUUCUUUUUUCUUCUCUUUCAUUUGGGGGAUUUGGUAGAUCAAUAAUGGUACUAGUACCGGCUCUCCGCCACCUCAUCAUCAUCAUCAUCAUGGAGUAGGUGUCUCCUCCGUCGGCGCCGCCACGUCCACUGCCGGUCCCAAGAGACCGUCCUCCUCCUCCUCCCCCUCGCCGUCAACUUAUCCCACCGUUGCUCCGCCUUCCACAUCCCAACCCGCAGCCAAAUCUAUCAAGGUGAUCAUCUACAAUUUGACCCCAUCUCGUAUUAUAUCAUAAUUCUUCAUCUAUCUCGAAAUAAUUUCUGGCUACGCUAUUGCUUAUAAUUUGUUGAUUUAUUAUGCAUUCUUUAUAACAUUUCCAGAGGGAAGGGAUGAAUCGGAAAGGUGCGAAUAAUGGUGGUGCAUCAAAUACAGAGCAUCAAGGUCCCAAGACGCCUGACCCUAAGGUACUGUAUACCAGAUUUAUCCAUUUUGUGCGGAUUUUUCAUAAUUAAACAAGACGUAAUGAUUGAAUUGUUAAGGUAUUUUUGGUUGUGUUGUCUCGAUCAAUGAUAUUGUUGGGUUUUCGUGCUCAUCCCCAGACAUUGAGGCGACUUGCUCAGAAUAGAGAAGCAGCCAGGAAAAGCAGGCUCCGCAAAAAGGUUCCUUUUUCUUUUAUUAUUAUAAAAAUAACGAUUAAAACUAAUUCUGCUGAGUAUAAUUAAUUAAUCACACUAUAACUAAUUAAGUAAAGUACUUGACUGUGUUUUGUUUUUAAUUAAUUUGGUCACAUAGGCUUAUGUUCAGCAGCUGGAGUCAAGUAGAAUCAAGCUUUCUCAGCUUGAGCAAGAGCUCAAUAGAGCUCGAUCUCAGGUAAUUAAUGAUAUAAUGAUCAUAUUUUUAUAAACAAUUAGUUAUAGUUAAUCAUUAUUUUUGUUUCGGUGAUAUCAAAUUUGACGGAUUAAUAUACGAUUUAACUAAUAUUAUUUUAUUUUCCUACUUAUCUCAUAUAUAUAUUUUCAAUAUGCUAUCUUUUAUUUCAACUGCACUUGUCAAUUUGUUGUGUAUCGGAGCGUAAAUAAUGAAUAUUCCUUCUUGUUUUCACGGCUUCUUCGUUGGUAUCACUCGUUUCUUUUAAUACUAUUCAUUUAUUUNNNNNNNNNNNNNNNNNNNNNNNNNNNNNNNNNNNNNNNNNNNNNNNNNNNNNNNNNNNNNNNNNNNNNNNNNNNNNNNNNNNNNNNNNNNNNNNNNNNNNNNNNNNNNNNNNNNNNNNNNNNNNNNNNNNNNNNNNNNNNNNNNNNNNNNNNNNNNNNNNNNNNNNNNNNNNNNNNNNNNNNNNNNNNNNNNNNNNNNNNNNNNNNNNNNNNNNNNNNNNNNNNNNNNNNNNNNNNNNNNNNNNNNNNNNNNNNNNNNNNNNNNNNNNNNNNNNNNNNNNNNNNNNNNNNNNNNNNNNNNNNNNNNNNNNNNNNNNNNNNNNNNNNNNNNNNNNNNNNNNNNNNNNNNNNNNNNNNNNNNNNNNNNNNNNNNNNNNNNNNNNNNNNNNNNNNNNNNNNNNNNNNNNNNGGCGGGUGGGUCCCCCCCGCCGAGCGUUGCUUCAUGUGGAUCGGCGGCUUCCGCCCUUCCGAACUCAUCAAGGUAAUAAAACAAAAGGACUUAGUAAUAUUUUUUUUAACUAGAGUAACUAACAAGGAUGAUCAUAAAUUUUAAGCGAAAUUUCAAGUAUAAAAGUUGACAUAUAUAAAAAGCUAAUUAUGUUAGAGGCAUUCAAAAAAAAAAGCCAAUUAUGCUAAUGUUUUUCAUUAAUAAAUUUAAAAUUUUCAUAAAUUUUUUUAUAUCGAAUAAUUAAAUGACGAAUAAAAUUUUAAGUUAAAAUAUAUAAAAAUAAUAUUAGAUGUAUUUUUUUAAUUAAAACAAAGUUGAAUGUGCCAUCCGCUGGUUUUUUCCCCUUCGUUUGGAGUUUAUGUUGAUUAUAAGUUUAAAUUUGCUAGAUUAUUUAGUCUACACACUUCAAAUACCAAUAGCUGAAUUACGAAAUUAUCAAAACUUUAGAUAUAGUUUAAUACCCGAGGCCAUAAAAUAAGAAAGUCAGGAGGGCGAGAUUUGAAACCUUGUUAAUCUUACAUAGUAAUUCAGCUCUCUGAGAGUGAGGGACCCUGGGCGGAAGAGAAGGUUCCCAAAAAUUAUAAACCCACUCGCUAAUUUCAUAUUUAGCGAUGUAAUAUUCAAUUAGAUACGCUUUUACGGAAAAAAAAACACAUGACAAGAGAGAUUGGGUUACUAUUAUAAGGUAGAGUUAGGUCUCCAAUCUCAUAAAGCUUAUAUCUCUACCUUCCUCCUUCAAAAUAUCAAACCAAAGUACCAAACCACAUAGCUUUCACGCUUCUCUUGACUUUUUCUCCAGAGAGAUGCACAUUUCUGUUUUGCUCCCCCCAGUACCAGUACAAGAGUACUAGUACCAUAUUCAAUAUCUCAAGUACCAGCUUCGCCGAUCUUUGGUUUUGGUCCCUAGCGACAUUAAUCGAAAAAGUUCACUCCUUUCUCCUACCCCACAUGUCUAAUCAUUUUGAUGGCCAGGGUGCAUAUAUAUACAACGUACGAUAUAAUUGGGUGGGCCACUCUAGCUAAGCCACUAUCGAGGGUCUUUUGAUUCCAUAGUGUUCGGCUCCUGGUGGACUAAUAAGUGAUUCGAUGUAGAGGAUAGUGUAACUUCUUCAUUCAAGCGUCUCGAGUCUCCUUGACCGGCUCCUGACGGAGAAUAGGGAAGGGUUGUAACAUAAGAGUAUGAGAAUAAGAGGGAAGGCGUUUAGGGUAAUGAGAAUUGGGAAAUAAAAAAGUAUCGGGAGUGUUUGUAAGUGUGAGAGUGUAUGACAAUUUACCUUGGGUUGUAUAGCUGUGUGACCGUACGGGUCCAAUGCAAAAGUGGCUAGAUCAAUAUAUGUAGUAACUCCUUUAGUGUCGAGGCCACCAUGUCUCUUAUAGCAUCAACAGAUUUAGACCGAAUCACUAUAUGUCGACGCCUGUUUAGUAUCCCAGCUAGGUUGAGAUAAUCUUGGUCGCAUAUGUGUUCAGAAUUGUUAUAUUUUAAUAAUUUGAAUUUUUGAAAAAGGAUUCUGAUUUGAUAUUUAUAUCAUUUACUAAUCAGAUAACUAGAGGACCAAUAUUGCUUCGACAAUAUAGGCCAGCGGUUUCCUAGGGCUCUUGGGUUGGCCAUAAGCUUUUGCCGCUGGGCAUAUAUAUUAAAUAGCGAUGAAAUUUUUUGUAAAAUUCUCAAAAUCAAAGUUGAUGUCCGAUUGUUUUUAGUAUGAAUUAAUUGAGAUUUUGUCCUGGUGCAGAUAAUAGCGAACCAGAUAGAGCCGUUGACGGAGCAGCAGAUAAUGGGGAUAUGCGGGAUGCAGCAGUCGACGCAGGAAGCCGAGGAAGCGCUGUCGCAGGGCGUGGAAGCGCUGAACCAGUCGUUGUCGGAGACGAUUGCGGCGGACUCGUUGAGCUGCCAACCGAACAUGGCUAACUACAUGGGACAGAUGGCCAUGGCCAUCAACAAGCUCUCCACCUUCGAAGCCUUUGUCCGACAGGUACGUACGUACGCAUUAUUAACUAAUUAAUUAUUUAUUAAUUAAGCCGUACUUACGUUACUGAGAUAUUAUUACUGUACGUUGUUUUCAUUAAUUAGCGUAAUUCCCACUAGUAGGAUCCAUGACGUGGGAUUUUUAUUUUAAAAAAACACGACAGUGACUGAUUACAUUGUUGAGUUGGAAAUAGUCCUCUUCUGAUUUGAAUACUUUCGAUAUUUAUACCUACCUGUUGUAGUUUCGAAUUAGAAUAAUAACCGUUAAAAUAUCAAAAAUUUAAAAAUAAUAAUAGCACAAACUCUUGAAAAGUGUAAACUUCAUAAGCUAGAGUUAGUAAAUCAUUAUCAAAUUAAAUUACUUAAAUAUUUUAUUAUUCCAUAACUCAUAACCUUAAAAGGAAAACUAAUUAGUUGUCAUAAACAUGAAAGCUCUCAUUNNNNNNNNNNNNNNNNNCUCUCAUUAUAAAAAUAUUUCUAUACAAACUUAAUCGAAUAUUUUGACUUGGGUGUAAAUACUUAAAAAGAUAUGAUUGUACAUGUAACAAUAUUUUAGUUCAGUUUAGCCAUACGUACAACAAAAAGUACUCGAUCAAUUUAAAUUUGACCGAAUUUAUUUUUUUGGGAUAAAUAUUGGUUAUUUUAUUUAUAAAAAAUAUGUAUAAAAUAACAAAUAUUCAUCGAAAAAGAAAACCCAGAUUACAACAAUAACAAAAUCAGGAUGGUUAUAAACUCUCAACAAAAUUUAACUAUUUUUUAUUAGAAUGAUUAAUCUGUAUGACGGUUACAAUUCCAGCCCUUGUCUCGAGUCACGCCUAGUCGUUUGCAUUUAAUGCAUAUGAAUCCAUUCUCCUUCUAUACCCUAGAUUUCAUAUUUUUAUCACAUUAAUUCAUUACCGAAAAUACCCCUUUUGAAACAGUCGAAUUACUAUAGGGUAUGAAGUGGCAAUGUGCUUGAAUAGUGGUCGAAUUAGCGGUGGGCCAACUCAGGCAACAGCCAAGGCUAGCAGGGACGGCCCUAGGGUGUGACUCCUUUAGACAUGCGAAUUCUCCUUUUUGGUAUCGAAAGUAACAAUUCAAUUAAAAAUUAUAAUUUUUUUUAUUUUGGUCUAGUAAUAUAUUAAAUUUGGUCACAUGCUAUUUUCAAUUAUAAAUUCAUCCCUGCACUCGGACUUAGCACCCCAAAUAAGAAAUUUUACGGAAAGUCUAUGACCAUCUUGAUUCUGUUAUUGUCGUGGUCCGGGUUUUUCUCUGCGCAUUUUAUGAUCAUAUAGGGAUGUGUGAGGGGAGGCCCAUGUUUUAGGGUUGUGAUGUCAGGGGUCGUAACCGUUUGACUUGAGGACAAAAGAAUUGCAGAAAUCUGGGUUUCUGUUCUGUUUUUUUGAGUUUUGACUGUUCAAACUUCAAACUAGCUUUGCAGCAAUGGUCUUCUUCUUCAUCAGCCACCUGGUUAUUUCUUGGUCUUCUGUGUUUGUUUGGUCUGGUCUAAUUAUUAAUUAUGACUGGUAAAUCAUCAUUGUACUAGAAUAGUAGCAGUGUAAUAUUAAUGAUGUUUGACGACUAGCCAAAGCUUAGGAAAAUGGCUAGCUACGAUGCUGGCCGGCUUUUCGUCUGUUGCGGUUUACGUGUUAUUUACAUGUAUCCGUAUCGAAUGAAAUAAUAAUUUUUAUUUGUUUUCGACCUAAAAAAUUAGUUCAAGGGAUGAGAUUUCCUUUCACUGUUGGGAUAAUCCGAUUAUAGCUUUUUUUUCACCCUAAAAGAAAGUUAUAAUCGGUUAUUGAUCUGUCUAACUUAAUCUUAACCCUAACCCAUGAAUCAAGAAAUGUUGGAUCAGUUAGGGUUGGAUCAUGUUCAAGACUGUAAAAUGACAAACUAAACCCUAAUAUUUAAAUCGGUUUGGUUAGAAUGGUCGACACCAUUAUAUCCGAGUUGUUUUGACAUCCUAUGUGUCGGAUUCAAUAUCCGAUCUAUAUCUAAUUAAUUUCUAUCAGAAUAUACCGAGACUCAGUCACUACAAAAUAAAAAGAACUAAACAUAUUAUAUUUGUGUUCAUUCGAAAAAUGUGCCUGAUUCAAACUCAAAAACUCAUAAUUACCGACACUCAACUCUAUCCCGAUAAAAUUAAAGCUACCCUGUCUAAUUUUCUAAAACAGAUAUGAGUAUGACUUUUAUUUUCUUACUUAAAUAUCGACAAGGAUUUGGAAGGUUCUAACUCAUAGAAAAAUAAUUGUCGGGGGGGAAAGUCCACGAGUUUGAUAGCCUGUCUUUGUUCACAUGUUUCUUUAACAUUUUGUCUGAUGCUUUCAUGGAAAGUCACUAGUUUAUAUAUACUACCUAAUUGGGAAGAUGUGAGUAGUUGAGUUCGAAUUUUUUUUUUAUUGGACUAGACCUUUUAACAAGUUAUUUUACGUAAAAUUCUGGCCGUCUCUAAACUUGCAGGCAGACAAUCUGAGGCACCAAACUCUACACCGGCUGCAUCAAAUACUGACGACAAGGCAAGCUGCAAGGUGCUUUCUAGCCAUCGCGGAGUACUUUCAUCGACUCCGAGCCCUAAGCUCGCUCUGGUUGUCUCGCCCUAGACAAGAUUGAUCAUAUAAAUUAUAGAUGAUUACAGGUGAUGAUGAUCGAGAUAUAGCUAGCUAUAGUCUUCUUCUUCUUCUUCCACUUAAUCCAUAACUCUUGUACUUUGUAUUUAAUUACUUAUAUGUACUAGACUCGGUGUACGGUAGUUUUCUAUAUUCAGCUAGCCAGGUAAAAAAGAUAGGGACAGAAAAGUAAAAUGUUGGAACUAAUUAAGGGGAGGUUUGGUACGGUGGGAUUGGAAAUUUGAGGAUAUAUGCGGAUAUAUAUCGGGAAUGUACGUAUGUUGGAGAAGUGUUUGAUAAAAAUUGGAAGAUUUAAAUCGUAUUAAAUUCAAAUCCAAUACCUUAAAAUUAUCAGCAUACCAUGCAAUAAAUUAUACUCUUUGAGUCUUCAUUUUUUUUUUCCUAUUGUCAUUCAUUUAGUUGAUUGAAAUUUGAAACUUCAUGGUUGUUAAUUCCAGAGGUUUGCAUGCAUGGUUUCCCAUUUUACUUGGGUUUGAAACGAAUUUGAUGCCCUUUUUUCUUGUCAGAUUAAUGGGCUUAUCAAUUGUCCAUGGACAACAUUGGGCUUCAAUUUGACUAUAGGCCGAGUUCACUAUUGAGUAGUGGGUUUAAAUUUGACUAUAAGAGUCUAGGUAGAACCAAAUGCUGUUAUCUUAGAUGGUUAAGGCUAUCAAUUAGUGUUGUUUCGAUAUUUGAAGACUUUGAAUUCAAAUUUUAACUGUUUUUUUAUGAUGGAGAAGAGAGAAGUGGAAAAUUAAAUUUGAGAUUAAGACUAGAAUUGGAUCUAGACUCAGUCAAAAAAUUGACAUGCCAAGUUGGAGGUUUUCCGUUCUAAAAAAAAAGUUUAGAUAAAGUUGUAUGUCCACUAUUUGUAAAUAUUUUUCGAAAAUGUCUACUUGUAUAAUUAAUGCAUAGUAUCAAAAUAAAAAAAGUUCAUAAACUUCUCACAUUAAUUAGGAGGCGUUGUCGUACUCAUUAUAGUAGACUCAAAAUGAAAAGAGCGGCAAGAAAGCUCGUGCGCGACUCCAUUCUUAAUUUUCAUAACCCAAUAGACUGUGAGAAAAAGUCUUUAAUUCCUGCAUGAUAUCCUAAAACUCAGCCAUCGUGACCUCAAAUUCUAAUAUUCAUAGUUAUAUGUUCNNNNNNNNNNNNNNNNNNNNNNNNNNNNNNNNNNNNNNNNNNNNNNNNNNNNNNNNNNNNNNNNNNNNNNNNNNNNNNNNNNNNNNNNNNNNNNNNNNNNNNNNNNNNNNNNNNNNNNNNNNNNNNNNNNNNNNNNNNNNNNNNNNNNNNNNNNNNNNNNNNNNNNNNNNNNNNNNNNNNNNNNNNNNNNNGAAUGUUUCUACCCGAGUCAACUUGAGAUUAAGACAUGCAAGAUUAUAUUACUAAGAAGGAAAAUGUUAAAGAGUACUUACUUUGUCUUAGUCGAAGUUGUUUCGUUAGUGAUAUAUCAUUACAAUUUACACACAAAACCGUUGAAACAAAACUAAAACAAUCCAAAUCUCUUUGGGAACUUCAAAUCGGACAAAAAACUCAGCUCACAAUAACCAAAGAAUACCAUUUGCAAAGAUAAACUUAUCCGACGAGUAGUUGUAACGUUGAAUUUUGUUUUUAGAGAUUUCGACUCCUAUAUUUCAUAAUAUCCAAUAUUAAGCAAAUCAUAUAUUGGCGUCCAAUACUAGCCAAACUGUCAAAUAUAGGAUUAUUUUUUUUGAUAAAUAUGAAUAAUUUUAAUUGUCAUGUUUUUUUCUUCAAUAUAUGGAGCUAGCAAUUACGACAAAGAACUAAUAGUAAAAGAAAAAAAUAAAAAUGUAACGAAAAUUAAGAUUCAAACUUAAUAUUUACAAAUAUAUGUCGCAACACUAACUGACACGGUUACCCGUCGAACUAACAUCCUUUCUCCAUACCAUUAAUUUUCCAAAUUAGUAACACAGUGAUCACGAAAUAUACAAGAUUAUCCGCAUAUGUAUUAUUAGUCUGCAUCAAACCUUAUAAUUUACGUGUAAACUACUAAAAUUUGGAGACUAGACGGCUCCAAACGAGAAAAAUCAAAAUUGAUAGCAAACAUAAAACGAGCUAAAUACUUGAUCGAUUCAGAUUGUGAGAUCGUCUUCAACACAACUUAAAAACAUGAAAUGACACAACCUGUCAUAAAAUGGACAACCCUAUUUAUUGAUCGUCGGACAACCUACAUCUUAAUUCAAGUAUAAGCUGUUAAAAAAACAAAGAUAAAUCUCAUGAUGAUAACGCAACCAACAACACAAUGAGUAGGCCGCUAGGCUAAACAUGAGAGAACCAACUUUGCGUCAGCUUCUAUAUUCACUCACUAAAUUCCUUACCAAAAAAUACCACGAAUAAACAUCGCCAACAUGACCAUAACACACAUGGCCCCAUAUGAUUGGACUCACGGUUUCAUCCGAAGACCAAGACUCCACGAGUAGCCGCCACGUCCGCAAUCUAAACUCGGUACUCCUGCCCGUACCAAAUCCCAAUCUCCCUCUCAUUUCAUCGUCUCUUCGAAGAUCUACAAACCCAAAAAAAAAAAAACCAAUACCAGAACAGGAAAGAAACGAACACACAAACUCCCUUUCCAAUUCCUCCACCCCACUCGAAUUCUCUCCCACAUCUGGGUAUCUAUGGCGGACGCAGCUGAGCCACCGGCGACGUCGACGAGCAACGCGAAUCCACCACCCCCAACGCCGAGCCCCACCUCAACCGCCGCUUCGCAAAUCAACCCCCGCCGCGGGCCGGACAGGCGACGGCCACCCACACACCGCAAGACAACCCGAAGCUAAUCUUCACGGACCCGACGCAGACUCUAGGUCAACUCCGGCAGAAGCUCUCCUCGCAGCCUCGUGUCGACGCUGCUGCCCUCGCCGAUGCGCUGCAGAUCUCGACCGACCACGCCAGGCUAGUGCUGGAUACCCUGGCAUCUGUGCUUCACUCCGAGUCCGACCCGCUCGUCAAGGCUGGCUCCGGGGAGAUUGAUUUGGUAGGAGCGGAUUUGCGUGAUCUGAUACUGUUUCUGUAUAUACAAUCGUAUAAGAAGCUGUUGCCUCGGACGCAUAAGGAUUCUGCUGCCGUUGCCGAUGUUUGGCCUUCUACUUCAGCUUUCGACGGUUACUUGUCCGCUCUUUCUCCGCUCCAGGUGAAUUUUGGUUGUUGUUCUGUUGAUUUUUUAAUUGGUUGAUUGCUUAGGCCGAUAGCUAUGUGGAUUGAAACUUGGUUUCAACUUGGGGCACUAUAAUGAUUGUGGAAAUGCUUAAGUUAUCAUCAAUGCGUGUUUUAUUUCCAUGGUCGUGUGUGUCCAUUUAGGAGAAUUUGAAAUGCAUUUACAGAACGAUGUGCCGAAUUUUGGUUCCCAGCUGCGUUGCCUUUGAAUGAAUGCUAGUGGAAUUAAUUCGAGUUGAUUAUGGAUCAAUUUUCUUGGAGGAUGGUUAAAUUUAUAAUUUUAGUAAUCUGCGGAGGCUAAUAGAUAUUAGAUAUUAUGCUAGUUGAAGGAAUGUGACAUUACUUACGAUGGCUGGUUGAUGUCUUCUGAGAAUGUUUGUUGCAGUUGAAGGCCUUAUUUUGUGUGUAGAAUUUGUUGAGCAGUUGAAACUGAAUGCUCUUUUUCAAUACCCUCCUCCUUAAGUUGUCUCUACUUCUUGGUUUUGCACAAGGACUUCUACUCACUGCUUCAUUGCUUUGCAGCUUGUACGUAGCAACAGCCGUCGUUUCAUGCCAUCGCAUGCUGACGAAGAAGCUCAUCAGUUAUCCUAUUUACAAAAGCACAUGGGUAACAUUCUUUCUCUGCUGGCAGAACCCGUUGAAGGAGAUGGAGAAGGCGAAAGCGAAGAGUCCCUGGUCUGUGAAUUCACCCCUAUCCAUGUUCUAUGUCAAAUUCUCCAUUUGUGUAUUGUUGCUACUAUUUUGUGGAGCACUGUCUAUGGAAUAUGAUAAGACAGUCUAGCAAAUGUUUUUUUUCAUUCUCUUUGCUAUUAUUUUAUAGCUGUUAGAUCCUUUCUUUUUAUUGGAUAAUUCUGUUUGACUCUCAUGUAUUUCCAAGCUGAUGGUUCCUAAUUGUUCAAGGUUUUGACCAUGGAGGGAUUUGAGCACCUUGGAUUUCUUAUUCAGAUUGGUGAACAGGGAUCAGAAAGAGUUUCUUUAAGUCAAGCUACCCCAUUCUUUGCCAAUUCGGAUCCUGACAUGCCAGCUGUUCCUGUCCCUGCUUCUGAAGUUCUUGAUUGGAUAACAGAAAAUAUUUCCUCUGCAUUGGAGACCAUAACUGAAAGAAUUUCUGCUAAAGAGAAUGGUCCAUCCAGUGCAUCUGAUCAAGAUAUAGCGAUGGCUGAUACCUGCAAUGACACUGUGAAAACAUCACCUAGUUCUAGAGGCACAAGCUUCAUUGAGGGUGUCUCUAAAUCAUCAUGUGUGAAACAGACAUCAGAUCUUAAAGGCUCCUCAUUAAAGGUACCGGAUCUCCUGUUUUCCCCCUCUCGAGGGAUGCAGUUGCAACUUGGAAGUAGUCUCUACUUACUAUAUAUUAGUUUCACUUGGACUUUAUAAUCUUUAAAUGGUUGUUAAGCUUUAAACUUUUCUAGGGACUAGGGCAGAUGAAUACUAUAGCUUUAGUGAGUUUUGAGCCUAAGCGUGGAUAGUGAAUUCGUUAGACUUCUAAAUUGUUACUUUCAUCAAGAUUUAACAACUAGCCCCUGACUCAUGUUUUCAAAUGUAAAGAACGCAGAAACUUACAUGACUUAUGUGGCGCAUUAGGUGAGCACAAUGGCUCCAGGGCUGUAUUUGAACUUAAUUGUUUCUUCAAGUGAUGCAUAUGACUACUCGUACUUGACUUAACAUUUCACAUUUCUGUAAUCAAAUAUGUGCAUAGUUUUCACUAAUGAUAAUCCAAGCUCAUUAUAGAGUUUUUGCUUUAAAAUAUUUAUCCCCACCAACCACUUUUUUGCAUAUGUUAUUUUUGGAAUUGAAGGAAUUGAAUACGGUUGUCAAAUUAAUAAAUCAUGUAAUAGUUCCUUGGUAAUCUGACUCUGUUGCUUGGUUGCAGGUUCUAAAUUGUCAUGAAUCCUCUAUUUACAUCCUAGCACCGUUGAGAUAUGCCACAGUGUACGGAUGCUCUGAUUCUACAAUCGUUCUUGGAGCUGUGGGAAAGGUAAUGUCCUUCUCUUGGGUUCAAUAAUUGCUGUGUAGUUGAAUAUCUUUCAAUACACAGAGUUGUUACUUCCUUUAGUCCUGAAGUGCAAUUGAUUUUUUUGUACUUCUAAUCCACCAUGGCAAGAAGGCAAACAUGUUACCUGUUCCCCAGGAAAUAGUGAAGAAUAUUUACUGACAAAUAUUUUAAUUUAGUUUAAUGGGCAAACGAAUACUGUGUUCCACAUGCUAGCCAAUUCUUUCGAACUUUGCAUAUGCUGGAACCAAAAGUUGUUUCACUAUAUUUUGAACUUGUUAAUGCUCUAGGCUACUUAAAGUUCCCUUUUGUGUUUUGAUCAGGCUGUAAGGAUUGAACAUUGUGAGCGAGUUCAUGUGAUAACAGCUGCAAGAAGAGUAUGCAUUGCCAAUUGUCGAGAGUGUGUGUUCUUUCUCGGGGUUAACCAGCGGCCACUUAUGGUUGGUGAUAACCAUAAGCUCCAUGUAAGUUUUGGAUCUAUUCCGUACUGAUUGUUUUUAGCCAGUAGCAGCAAUAUUAUUAUCUUACUAAUCUUGAAUGCGACUCAAGAACAUACAUUGAUAACUGUCCAUACAGUAGUCUUCUAUUUCCUUCUUGUAGCCCUUGUCAUUUGAAAUCUGAAAAUCAAUAAGAAAUUGAAAGUCUUUUGCACUCCAAUCAGGUGGCACCAUACAAUACAUUUUACUCUGAUUUGGAAGCACACAUGGCUGAAGCUGGUGUUGAAGCAAGCAUCAACAAGUGGGAUGAACCUCUCGCCUUAGGAGUGGUUGAUCCCCACGAUUCAUUAUCACACCCAGCUGGCGUCUCUGAUGUUCAAGCUGAGACAGCCACACGGAUAGACCCCGACCAUUUCACAAACUUUCUGGUACUUCACUAUGUAUCUGCAUCACUGUAUAUGAUUCUCAUAUUCCAUCAGUCGGUAAUCUGUCUCACAUAGAAUCCAUACAAACCUAUUCGCAUGAUGUUCGCCCAAGUAGCUCAGUUCUGACGACUUUAUGUACUGUUCUUUCUUGAUACAGAUUCCCAACUGGUUUGGAGGCGAAUCAUCAGGGAUGACAAAAGAUAAUCCCUUCUCGUUGCCAGACAGCUAUAUGGAAUCCCAUGUGAAAAAUGUAUGUAUAUUUCGACCCAUGGAAUCUCUUGCAGUUGUUGCUUAUCCCAGCCACUGCAACGUUUCAAACAAAUUUUGAUUGAAUUCCAUUCGUGUCUACCUGUUUUUGUUCGUUCUUCAGCUAAAAAACUUGGAUGAGAUCAAACAACUAUUGAGGGAAACUCCACUUGAAGAAAGCAGGAAGCGGGAACUUUCAUGUGCACUCCACACGCUGUUCAAAGAUUGGUUGUAUGGUAAAUAAUCAGAUCAUUAAACUCUUGUACUUCAUUUUACUUUCUUUCUUUUCCCUUUGCAUAUUAAGGAUUUCGUUAAUGACGCAUUCGUUUCGAUGUUUACUGCAGCUUCAGGCAACAUCCGUCAACUAUACUGCCUACAAGGUGAUUAAAGUCCGGUCCACGCCGAGGAAACGAAGGGCGCGGUUUUUUUUGUAGCAAUGCUGGAUUUUGUUUCUGUUUAUCGAGCCAUCAUCUAGGCAAAGGCACAGAGCUCAAAGACACUGUACUAUUGAAUUCGAAGUUCGUCCCCAGUUCGACAAUGGUGCUCAGAACAUAUAGAUGCCAAUAUGCCCUACGCUAAUCUCACUGUAAUAUUUCUCUGUUUUACUUUUUUGGUUUCCGUUCAUUCAACGAGCAAAAAAAAAUGCAAAGAAAGUUUCUUACUGUAACAUUUGGGUCCUUUGUGAAUUCCUUUUCUUAGUCCUCCAUUUUCGAUGUUGGCAUUUCGACCGAGUUGUCUCGUAGGUUUGGGUUUCUUUCUUUCGGUUUAAGCCAAUGUUUCAGUAUUUGAUUUCAAGUUUGUGUUCAUUAGAUGGAUGAAAGAAACAAUUUGACAUUAAGAUUGAAAACAGUACAAUCUAGCUAGAUGGUACUAGUGCUAACAGCUGCUCCGCUUGAUCAGGAAAGAUCGUAAUGAAUAGAAGUGCGCCUGCAUAGAUUGAAAAGACGAGUAAACUGAUUCAGUCUAGAUGGCUGACUAUGGAAAUGAUCUAUCUGUGUACCAAUAGGUGACUUACAGACGAGAAUGGUUCCAACGACAGCGGAGAUCUUGCCUUGAACUGUGACCAAACCGGCUUUGCCAGCAUUUUGUAACUCGGUUUUGCCUUCGGAAUCGAAUGUACCUGUAAACAGCAUAUAGAGAUGUUAAGGCACAGAAGAUUUCACAUAUGUAAAGAAGGGAUGAGUAGCAGUCUAACCUGGUUUAACAGAUUGGAGACCAGAUGUUAUGCAUGCAAUGUUCUGGAAACCGGCUUUCUCUAGCUUGUCAGCUGCUGCGGCAGACCUGGAAAAUAUAAGAAUAGGGAUGGGCAAACGAGUGUGGUUGACCCAAUAACUGUACUGUUAUCCAUAAUUAACGAUUACUGUAAAAGGUAUGGUUAACCGUGGUUAAUUUGGUGCUAAAAUAAUUGUGGUUAAUCAUACCGUACGGACUUGAUAACCAACUACACCACAUUGUUGACAUCCACCCACUAAACUCUAACCACCGGAAAAUGUAACAACAAAUCCACAACUAGCCAAUUUCAUAGCACAUUAUCAGCAGGUAAGCAGUCGACAAUGUCAAAAUUGCCAGGAUUGGUGAGUUACUCACCUCAGUCCUUCCUGGCACACCACCAACAGUUUGCUUUCGGGCGAGAACUUGCUCUUCACCGACUCUACAAACUCAGGAUUUGGCUUAGUGAAAGGCAGCCCAUAGAACAACCCGGAGAAGUUGUUGUGCAGUUGCCUAUUAAUGAUGGUCCCUGCCACAAAACCAGCAAAUUUCACAUCAAACAAAGCAUUGCUCAAGACUGACCAAAGGGCUCUUAUAUUGUUUUACCAAUGUCGUUGUCUUUGUUUUCGAUGAAGAGAGGAACAUGGUAGCACGAUUUGAUAUGCGCUCGCUCGAAUUGUCUCACGUCCCUCACAUCAACUACUGCAUACCCUUCUUCUGCUAUCAGCUUUUUGGCUUCCUCCGCCCUCACAUAAUUCACCUCAGCUCUUAUCCCAAACGUCUUUACACAUCGAGGAAUCUGUCUCCAUCGCGUUCUUCCGUGUUGAUGAUCUCCGUCAGCCUGGAAUUCCAACCAAGAUGCCGCAAAAUUUCUGAAACCACACCCCCCCCCACCAACCCCCACACCCCCCCCCCCCCCCCCAACUUGAUCACUAUCAGUUCCCUAUUCCUCUUAUACUCAGUGGUAGACAGUAACGAGUUAUAACAUACUAGAAACUAACUUAACUUGAGCUAUUUAGUCAUUUACUCGCUGUUAUGCAGUAAUGUGUAUGGCUCGCAACCAACGCUAAGUAAAAAAAGUAAAUAUAACCCAUUUGAAAGUUCUGGACAAAAUGGCAGAGAUUAAUGGCUCAAGUUUCUGGACAAAAUCCACAAUCUUUGCUUCUAACAGUCAAAGAACUAAGAACAAAAGAUCCAGAAUAAGAAAGUAGAAAUUAUCUGUUUACCUUCUGGAAGAAAGGGUGGAACAAGAAGCAGCAAGACCAGCCAUUAAAAUCUGUUGGAGCUUGGCGUCUCUGUGUUCAGCUGCUGCUGGCGUGGCGAAGAGAUUAUGAUCUCUGAGCUUGAUUUCUGAAGAGGCCCAUGAAAUUUAGGAGGAUCAAUGGGUUGACGCCACGUGGUAUUUCGAAUACUCGAACCGGAUAUAUAUGUAUUCCCUUUUGCUCCGAGAUUAUUCUUUUUUUGUGGGCUCCGCCCAAUAUUAAGGCCCAUUUAAUUAUCCUUUUCAUCUUCAGUUUUCUAAUUAUUUCCCUCGCUUUUUCUUUCCGCUCUAACUUUCUGCUCGUCAAGGUUGCCGGAGCAAUGGCGGAAUCACCCGAAAACAGACCCGCCGGCCUGGGAUCCGCCGGACGAGGAGAAGAUAAAGAGGAAGAAGAAGAUUACAUGGGAGAACUUUCUCAGUUUCUUCUUCCGGAGACAUCGGUCCCGUCCAAUCCCAAGAUCUCAAGCAAAAAGGUCCGUUUUUUGCUAUGGGCGAUGUAUGAUUGUAAAAUUGAAGUUUCAUUUCUUCGCAAUUAGCAGAAUGCUGUGAUUGUUUUUCAAGUAUACCUGGACUUUCAGUUAAUCAGUUCAGCUGCUCGAAUCUCUUGUGUAAUUAUUGUCCCCAGGGAGGGAAUCAGCGAAAGUGCGACACCCUAAUUUUUGAAUCAUUUUUUGGCCGUUGUAGAUUGCUAAUAACAAGUUGCAAGCAGUGCAAUCAUCGAAGAAGAAAAAGGCUGUAAGUUGGCACGAGCAACGCAGGCUUGAGAAGGAAAGACAGCAAAAAGAGGAGGAUGAGCAAACACUGGCUAGAAUUGAAGCUCCGAUUCCACAGUCUAACAUUGGGUUUAAGCUGUUGAAGCAAAUGGGAUACACUCCUGGUUCGGCACUUGGUAAAGAGGGUUCAGGGAGAGCUGAGCCUGUGGGGAUUGAGAUAAGGCGGACUAGAGUGGGGAUUGGGAGGGAAGAUCCACAUAAGGAGAAGAGGAAAAGAGAAGAGUUUGAGGCUGAAUGGAAGAAGAGGAAUGACGAGGCGAUGAUGGCUGACUUUGGUUCGAGGCAGAAGUUGCAAUGGCGGAGUAAGAGAGUGGUUGUGAAUUUUACGAAAGCCAAGGCUGCUCUUGAUCAGUUGGAGAAUAAAGAGUUUGUUGAGCCUAAGAAGAGUGAGGAUGAGGAAGAAGGUGAACAGGAAGAGGAAGAGGAAGAAGUUGUGACAGAAGAGGUAUGUUCUUUUUUUUCCCAAUCUUAUCUUUGGAAUUGGAUACUUAAUCAGUGAUUGAUUCGUUGAAUGCUUGAAGUGAUCGUGAUCGAAAUUUGCUAAUAGAAUGUCUGUAUGCUAUAUCUCUUUGGAUUUGUGAAAUACUUCUGAUGCUAUGGGUUGUGGACUGGAGAGUUGCCUGUUCUUUAGUUGCUAAUUGUAUUGUUGAGUUAUGAUCUAUUACUCUGUGUUGCAGUUGAAAAUACUUCUGAUUUAUAAUGGCUGGUAGAAUUUUCUUGCCAGUGGGUAUCUCCAUUUCUAACAAUAAGCUCGACAAGAUGUACUCGACUUAAAGAUGUUUGCCUUUGUUGUGAUCGUUAUCUAGGUGUUGAUAUUAUUGGCAGUUUAAUUGCUUAUUUUCCAUAUGGGAACCAUUUUUUGUAUUAAAUGCUCAUGCUCUUAACUGGAUGCAGGAUCUGCACCAGAUAUUGAUGAAACUUAGAGACGAACAUCGGUACUGCUUAUUUUGUGGAUUUCAGGUAACUCUUGAUGAACAUGUUCAAGUGCAGUUCACAGUUUACACAUUAUAUAUCUGAAUUCCCAGUUGGUUACCACUCAGUUGCAUCCAGUACCUGAUUGUUUAGUGCAUGAACUUGUUACUAUGUUUCAGUAUGAGACAGCAGAAGCACUUUUAUCCAACUGCCCUGGAAUCGAUGAAGAUGACCACUAAAAUUCCUUAACAUCCGGAAAUCAACUACUUCCAAUUGAGUUACAAGAAAAUGAAAGACAGCGAGAUUCUCCACAACCUAUUGGAUGGCUGGCUGCUGGAUAACUUGCUGCUGGUGUGAAUUCUUCAUCGAUUGUGGCAGCACUUGAUUAGUACACGAACAAAGAGAUCCUGCUGAGAGAAGCAAAUUGCACGAUGAGUCUAUCACCCUCGUGCACUUGUAUCCAGUUACACUAUCUAUUGGAUAUGCUGACAUUAUACAGCAUGUGUGCAUCAAAUAUGAUAUUUUGAGAACUGGUAUCCGGCUGUUUGUACAGUAUGCAGAAGAUUAUUGGCCCUGAUGUAUGUUUUAGAUACUGCUAUUAGUUGUUAGUCACAAAACUAAGAUAGAUUGUUGAUAGAUUGGCUAAUGCCUAAUGGCUUGACUUUGACGACAACGACAAAUCAAGACAGUACGUUCUUGAAUACAAAAUACAAGCCAAUAAGUCUUAAUGUACUUUCAGGUCUAUGUAGGUACAGGAUAACCCCUGUCCUAAUUAGUUCUUCCUGGUCUUUAUUUCGAAUAAGGGCCAGAUAACUGAAGAAACCUAGAGAGACCAGUUGAUAUGAUGAUCGGACGAGCCAUAUGGUCUGGAAUGCUCCUCCAUGUCCAUAUACUGCCUUCUCGAGAGCAGCGACAUGUCAAGCUCCGAGCCGGUGGCUGAAUGUGGCUGAACAUGGCCGAGACCGAGAUCAGAUUGCAGCAUCCCGUGCGAACUGCUAAAUGUAUCGGUACCACCUCCUUUAAAGCCCCAAGUGUUCUGGUAAGGGCUGAUGGUUGUUGCUGCAGCAGCAGUGGAUAGAGUUGCAAUGGGAGGAGCCUCCGAGUCCACCAAGUUGCCUACAGCUGUAUGACUUGAUGGCCUGCUUCUAGAGGAGCUCCAUUGUUGUUCGUUUGACAAAAGAGAGAGAGCACAGCUCGAAUCAGCGAUGCUGUAACAUUCUCCAGGGUGGAUCGAGAACCCUGUCGAAACUUGCGAGUAGAUGUUCGGUGGAGGAGGGUUCUGAGAGCUUCUGUUCUGCCACAAAUUGUGAUGAGUUUCAUUAUUAUUAGCUUCUCUCCCGGAUGACCUUGGGAAUGAGGUGAAGUCGAGAAGAAAACCGCCGCCACCACCACCACCACCACCACCACCACUACCUCUGCUGUUGUUAUCUGCAAAGCAAGCAUGAACCAGAAAUGAGAACACGAGAGUAGUACUAGUAGGCGCUAGAAACAAGAUUUGAAAAAAAAGAGGAUUUUGUGUUUACCGAAAAGAGUGGAUGAGAGCCUGCCAUAGCGAGACGAUAGCAUCGAGCCUGGUGGAGGCUUCCUCCUUCGUUCAUUAUGGCCAGCUAGCCGCCUGCGGCAGCUCCUCUUUCCUUGGUCAAAUUCAGGUAGCAGAUGAAACCUGAAUACACUAAUACACCCAAGCCAUUAGCAUUUGAUAAUUAAACAGUAGAAAUGAGAAUAAUAACACACCAGAAUUCGAUGCUUUCCACAAAAAUCCUUUAGACAUUGAGGGAAUGGCCUUUUUAUCAGAGAUCAUACUAUUUAUAGACAUCUCACUGCUAAGAGAACAACCAUAUACUGAUUAAGUCAUGUGUAUUCAAACCCUUCAACAGCUUUUUAUCUCGAAAAUUUCCACCUAAAGUACAGCAUAAAUUCUAUUACCAACAGCCUAAGUUAUCAAACAUUGAGCCUUUGCCACUAUCCAGCAGCUCCAAGCAUUGCCAGAAUUAUAAAUGAGGAAUGAACUACUGAACCUUCCCAUUAUGAGCAUCUCAGUGAUGAAACUGAUCAAAAAACAAGGCCCCACAAUGGAAACCAGUGGUUGCUACACAGAGAUGGAGAAAGAAAUGCAGAAGUUAACUAGAAGAUUGGCAGGUGAUCAUAGACAGACAUAUAGAUAAUGCUCAACUCAAUCAUAUACUUCCAAACAACAAGAGGGGGGAAACAGCCACUGACAACAACCAUUCAAAGCUGUGAACAUUAAAAAUACAAACCAGUAGCUAUCAUCAAUCAAUCAUGCUUAAAAAGGCUUAAAGAAGUUAACUUUAAAGCAAUUGCUGCAACCAACCUAAAGAUGGAAAAGGAUAGACAAUCCAACCCCAACCACACAAAAACAAAGAUGAUCCUAAACAAUGGGUACCUUCAAAAUUCAACCUUUUUCACCUAGUGAAGUAACAAGGCCAUGUUUGGUGGAGGGGGGUUUCAUAAUAUGAUGUUAAGAACCAAAAGAAAAACAAACCCAGUAGCUACGAUCAUCAAUCAGGCUUAAAGAAGCUAGCUUUAAAGCAAUUUCUGCAAUCAACCUUAUAAAGAAACAAUCUUUUUCCACCUAGAGAAGUAAUAAGGCCAUUUUUAGUAUGAGAGAACCAAAACUAACAAGUUAUUUAAAGCAAUGACCUGCUGCACUGUUGGCAAAACCUCUGUUCCAAGCCAGCAACAAUGACAGUAGGAGUCUUGGAGUGAAUCCCACAGACUUUGUGCCUGGAGUAGUAAGGCUUAACAUCGCUCAGAUCCACAUUGCACCCUUCAACUUGACACCUUGGAGUUGUUUGCUGCUGCUGCUGAUUAGCCACCUUCCUCGAAGAAGAGCCAGCAGGCUUAGGAUUAGGAGGAGUGGAAUUAAGAAGACCAACAUGGUCACCAAAGUAGAUCUUCUUCCCAAACUUCAAUCCAUUGUUGGAGUCAGCUGCAGACGAUGAGGAAGAGGAAGUUGGUGGAGAAGAAUCAGAGUUUGCGAAAUAGCCACCACCACCACCACCACCAGCAAUGUCCAUGGCGGGUCUUAAGGGUUGGUUGGUUUAAUCUGAUCCUUCUCCCAUUGGUCGGGUGCUUUUUUUACAGAGAGGGGUGGCAAGUUGUGGGUUAAACAAUUUGCCAAAGAAAGAAGAACAGUCAGUCAAAAGGGGGAAAGAAAUGUACGGAAAAGGAUGUGAAGUAUUGAAUAGGGAGAAUGGAAUGAUGGGGUUUCUAGUUGUUGUUAGUUUAUUAUGCCUUAGUUUAUAUAUAGGCUUAUUUAGCUUUUGUUGUGUGGGUGAUUGAGAUUUAUGUUUAGUUAUUUUUGUCCCAUAAUGUUCUAUAUCUCUAUGAUAAAUAAUGAUUAGUUGCAAAUAGUGGCUUUUUAUGUGCAAGUCGCAGUUUUCUUAGUGGUAAAGUGGCAUGUUGGUAAUUGAAAGAUAUCAAGUUUAAAUUUAGUUAUAUCUCACACACAGAUAUUUAUGUAAACGAGAAAAUUUGAGUAGUAAGUCAUGACAUAUGUGUUGGAAUUGAUAAUGGUGGAAAAGCAGCCAAAAUUUGAAGCCGACAACCAUUGUUUCCCGCAAAGGACGGGUAUCUUGUGUUAUUGAUAUGAAGUGGAGGAUUGAGUUGCAAGAAGUGUUAAUGAAUAUCAUUUUUUCUCUUUCUUAACAAUUCGAAUUAUUAAAAUAAAACGAUAAUAAUCGAUAUACUACAAGGUAACCUUUGUCUUUUGUAAGCCACUUCCAAUCCUGUACCCACUUAGUAGAAUAAAUCCUCCAUCCUAUUCUUACAAACAAGAUUGGUACAAAAAACCAAACAGGAUGUGGAUUCCAAAGGAAGAGAGCAGCUAACAAGAUUCCAACUAGUUCAGUUUCAGAAGUUGCUUUACAGCUUCGCCAAACUGUACACUGACUCAGUACACACACUGAAAGCGACUGCCUUUUCUUUUUUUCUUUCUGCAAAAUAAUGAAGACAAACAGAGCUAGGGAGGUCCACUUUCAUUAUUCAGUUGUGUGACCAUUUGCUUUACUAUCAUAUCAUAUCAUCAUUACUUCACUUUCUUAUCAACUGUAAUCUCUGAUCUUCUAGUUAUUGCUCUCUGACACCUAUCUCUAAAUUCAAUCAAUGGCUUACUAUUUUGGUUUGCCUCAAUCCAUGGGAAACAAGUGGUUAAUAGCUAUUCGUAAAUCAAGAGAACUCGAAACCGAAUCGAACUGGGCUCUUCUCUUGCUAUUCUUGAAGUCAUCUCUUAUGCUAGCAGCUCCUCUCUCUCCAUUGUUAGGUCUUCUUAGAUUGAUAGGGACUUGACGCGUUUUUGAAAGCCCGUAAAAUAGAAAGCAAUAAAUAAACAUUACAUGGGUGUCCAUUCGUAAGGUGUGCUGGAUUCAAUCCGUGAACUCCGAGCCACCAUUAGUUAACUCUAUUACUAGAGUAACUCCACUUGAAUAACAACAAAUAAGUUAGUUGUGUUAUCUAUUGUUCAACUUUAUUAGAAUAAGUUGAGGGAGGAUAGGACCUUAAUUGUGAAGGACUUUUGUUUCAAAAAGUUGGACCACAUGGCAUGGUGACAACGUUAAGGUUCAUACUCGAUCCCACCUGCCAUGAUUUAGUUGUCGACAUGGAUGAUAGUCGGUCAGAGGGCUCACUUGUAUCCAUGAGGUACGUAUCAGGAUCAUCAUACCUUCAAUGUUUCUUCUCAUUGGUGAUCUUCGGAGCUGCGGUAUUCCUGGUCGUUGUGGCGAGAGCAUAGGACAUAUGUCUAUAUUUCUGUUAGUAUGUGAUUUCUUAUAUAUUUAGAAACAAUAGUAUUAUUCACGCUAAUUCAUUCAAAUCGUUAUGAAUCCACCGUAAAAUCAAAUGAAGAAAUUUAACCAUAGUUAUGAUUAGAUAAUUGUUGGUUGAGUUAUAUAAUAGAUUAUUGCGUCAAAACAUACAUAUAAUAUUGAAAUUGAAUAUUGUGUAACCUUGAUAUGUUUUGGGAGUUAAAUGAAUUAUAAUUAUUUAAAUAACAUUAAAAGUCACAUAUAAAAGUAUAAUUGAAAAGUAAAGAGAUAUGUAGACAUCUAUAAAAGUUAGUUAAAAACGAAUAGAGUUUCCCUAUAACUAUCUGCCAUGUUGCUCAAGAUCGGGCCCAUCGAUUUUGAGGAUUGCACCAAAUCGCACUCCUGCCCAAAGGAGAACAAUUUUCCCGCACUAUAUCNNNNNNNNNNNNNNNNNNNNNNNNNNNNNNNNNNNNNNNNNNNNNNNNNNNNNNNNNNNNNNNNNNNNNNNNNNNNNNNNNNNNNNNNNNNNNNNNNNNNNNNNNNNNNNNNNNNNNNNNNNNNNNNNNNNNNNNNNNNNNNNNNNNNNNNNNNNNNNNNNNNNNNNNNNNNNNNNNNNNNNNNNNNNNNNNNNNNNNNNNNNNNNNNNNNNNNNNNNNNNNNNNNNNNNNNNNNNNNNNNNNNNNNNNNNNNNNNNNNNNNNNNNNNNNNNNNNNNNNNNNNNNNNNNNNNNNNNNNNNNNNNNNNNNNNNNNNNNNNNNNNNNNNNNNNNNNNNNNNNNNNNNNNNNNNNNNNNNNNNNNNNNNNNNNNNNNNNNNNNNNNNNNNNNNNNNNNNNNNNNNNNNNNNNNNNNNNNNNNNNNNNNNNNNNNNNNNNNNNNNNNNNNNNNNNNNNNNNNNNNNNNNNNNNNNNNNNNNNNNNNNNNNNNNNNNNNNNNNNNNNNNNNNNNNNNNNNNNNNNNNNNNNNNNNNNNNNNNNNNNNNNNNNNNNNNNNNNNNNNNNNNNNNNNNNNNNNNNNNNNNNNNNNNNNNNNNNNNNNNNNNNNNNNNNNNNNNNNNNNNNNNNNNNNNNNNNNNNNNNNNNNNNNNNNNNNNNNNNNNNNNNNNNNNNNNNNNNNNNNNNNNNNNNNNNNNNNNNNNNNNNNNNNNNNNNNNNNNNNNNNNNNNNNNNNNNNNNNNNNNNNNNNNNNNNNNNNNNNNNNNNNNNNNNNNNNNNNNNNNNNNNNNNNNNNNNNNNNNNNNNNNNNNNNNNNNNNNNNNNNNNNNNNNNNNNNNNNNNNNNNNNNNNNNNNNNNNNNNNNNNNNNNNNNNNNNNNNNNNNNNNNNNNNNNNNNNNNNNNNNNNNNNNNNNNNNNNNNNNNNNNNNNNNNNNNNNNNNNNNNNNNNNNNNNNNNNNNNNNNNNNNNNNNNNNNNNNNNNNNNNNNNNNNNNNNNNNNNNNNNNNNNNNNNNNNNNNNNNNNNNNNNNNNNNNNNNNNNNNNNNNNNNNNNNNNNNNNNNNNNNNNNNNNNNNAAUAUUAUAUCAUGAUAUAAAAUUCAUUUGGUUUUCUUUUUCCAACGAAAAAGAAAGUGAUGAAGUCUAGUGGAAUAUUAUAUCGUGAAAGAUGAGAGAGAGCUAAUUGAGUAAAUUUUUUCUGAAAAAAAAUUUAUGUAACUGUUGUUAGAUUUAAGGGGGAAUCCUGUCAAAAAAAUUUCCUUACAUUUGCUUGUAUAGUUGUGUAGAUGUUUGAUUAAUCUAUUUUAAAAAAUAUAUAUUUGAUUAAUCUUCGAUGUUUCAAGGCAUAAUUAAGUAAUUUGAAAGGACAGGUUAUGAUUACGUAAGUGUUUAAAUAUUUCCAUUUUACUAUAUAGUCACAUUUACUUUUAUUUUUCAAUUUUGAAAUCAUCUGGUUCUAUCAAGUAACUUACUCUAUUGGGCCCACUCGAUCCAACUUGCAUCAUGGCUAAACCAUCAAAUAUAAUAGAACUAAAUUCAACCACAAUCACCAAAUGUGUGUCGAUAUAUCCAAUCGUUGUUUCAUAUCGAUUGUGUCAUUUUUACGUCGAUUUCAUCAUCAAUUACUGAUGGAACCUCGAUCCAUCUCGAGACCCAAAAUCACGAGUCGGAGAUAGCAUAUACAAACAUAAGUGCAAUGGGGCCGGUUAGACCUCACGUUUGAGCCCCGUACGAGUCGAAAUCUCCACCACCCACCUCAGCGACAGACGAUAGUCACACCUACCUCGAAUCCUCGAUGAUGCCACCUUUCACGAGCUAUAAAUGAACGACAACCAUCUCCACCUGCCUAUUACGUCUCACAUUACAUAACGUAAUGUGUUAUGGUGUAGAAACGAUUUUCUUUCGUCCCUUUCUUGAUCGAUCUCCCAACCUUUCUCAUUUGGUUAAGUCCGAGUCCAAAAUGGCUAAACCCGUGACACAAACUCAACCCAGCCUGCCCAGCUGCAUCAUUGUUCUGCAAUAAAUAACAGUGGAAAAACAACGUUACUGCAUCUGUUUCAUUAAACAGCAAGCAACCCUCCACAAAAGAUUUUGUUUCAGUAGAACCAAAAAGAAUGACAAGUGAAGAAAAGUGUUGGAUUAUAAAUGAUACCAUGAAAUCCUCUUGGAAAUUCGUUUCUCUGCUGCAAGCUUUGUUUUCUAGUUAUGUCUGGUCCACUCAGCAUCUGCAAAUUUAAACUCUUCUUUUCUUGUAACCAGUAACUGAGGGAAAGUGGGCACAAAUGGUUUGAUUUAAUGAAACCACCAGAGUAAGCACAUAUGGACAGACCAUCCCCCCCACCCCCAUACCCAGCAAUGAUUCCUUUCUCUCACUAUUCGCGGUUAAAAGCAUAGAAAAGGCACUGCCUUUACGUUGCUUGUUUUCUUAUUAAACGUACCGAUUCGUGUAUUUUAUUCUUAUCUGUACGUGUUGAAAUGUAUGGUAAAAUACUUUGGUUCCCACAGAAUUGGUAUGGUCGAAGUUAACAAAACACAAUUUAUGUAACAACGACUUAACAUGUAUAAAAUAAGCAAAUUUGAAAAUUUUCAACACCAAGUNNNNNNNNNNNNNNNNNNNNNNNNNNNNNNNNNNNNNNNNNNNNNNNNNNNNNNNNNNNNNNNNNNNNNNNNNNNNNNNNNNNNNNNNNNNNNNNNNNNNNNNNNNNNNNNNNNNNUCAACAUGUAUUUUAAAUAUUAGCUGAUUUGAAAAUUUAAAUUUUUUUUAAUGAAAGGUCAAAUUUCCUUAAUAUAACACACAAACCAAUUUUGAUAUGAAAACUAAAAAAAAUUAUAUUAGCGAAUAUUUGAUAUGUAUGUUAAGGAUGAUUUAAAAUUGAAGUUUUAUGUUGUUAUGUCAUUCAAAUAAUAGUCAAAGUCAUUCAAAUAUAGACAAAUGGAAGUAAAAUACAUUUUUUAGCCCUUUCCAACAUGCAUUUCAAAUAUUAGCCGAUUUAAAAAAUUUGAAUUUUUUUAAUGAAAAUGGUUAAAUUUCCUUAAUAUAACACAUAGAAAUUAACCAAUUUUGAAAUGAAAACUUAAAAAUUUUAAAUUAGCAAAUAUUUGAUAUGUAUGUUAAGGAUGAUUAAAAAUUAAAAUUUCAUCUUGUUAAGUCAUUCAAAUAUAGACAAAUGGAAGUAAAAUACAUUUUUCAAAAGAUUUAAUUAUUGUUGUUAAUGAGAAUGUAUGUACUUUCAACUAUACAUUAAUUUGAAUUUUUGGAAUAAGCAAAUUUGAAAAUUUUCAACACCAAGUAAAAUUAAUUUUUAACUUCAUUUGACAAUUAUUUAUGGGAUUAUCAUAGUAAAAUUUGAUUUUUUAACCCUUUUCAACAUGCAUUUUAAAUAUUAGCUGAUUUGAAAAUUUAAAUUUUUUUUAAUGAAAGGUCAAAUUUCCUUAAUAUAACACACAAACCAAUUUUGAUAUGAAAACUAAAAAAAAUUAUAUUAGCGAAUAUUUGAUAUGUAUGUUAAGGAUGAUUUAAAAUUGAAGUUUUAUGUUGUUAUGUCAUUCAAAUAAUAGUCAAAGUCAUUCAAAUAUAGACAAAUGGAAGUAAAAUACAUUUUUCAAAAGAUUUAAUUAUUGUUGUUAAUGAGAAUGUAUGUACUUUCAACUAUAAAUUAAUUUGAAUUUUUGGCAAUUUUCCGCUGCAUGCAUAAAAAAAUAAGCUAUGCUUGAGACAGUUUUUUCUUUUACAGAGCAGAACUAAAGCCCAUCAUAAAGUAAUCAAGCCAAAACCCAUGCUGAAAAAUAGUUCGACUUGGCUUGGCUUGUGAACUUUAAUCAGCUCCUGCACAGUGUCUUCAGCACGACGUUGGUCCCAAUUGUACCAAAAUCCUCGCUUGUUUCGAGGUUUGGAAACCGCGACAUAAACAAAAUCCUCACUCGUCCUCAACACGGCAUAACAAAGGUCUGCAAAUGUACACGUCUACAGCUAAAAAAAAUGACUUCAACCUACUUAACUUGCUACAUCUACAAGAGAAACCAGAAGUCAGGCAAAAGACAUCACUUGAGCUUCAAGCAACGAUUGGAUUCUACUCUCUACUGCUUGGGAUGGAAAUAAGGAUACCCGCUCAUCCCCACGGGUGCUGGCGUUGAUAUCCCUGAUUGGUGUUUCCUCGCGGAACCUUGCAGAUAUAGGACCUGUGGCUGCAUUUGGUAGGGCGGAGGAGAGUAUGAUCCUAGUGCUUGAGGGUAAGCGUAGCCAGCAGGUGGAAAUCCAGCGUGAGGUCUUCCUGGCUGUGCAUAUCCGGUCGGAAAGGGCCCUUGAACCAUUGGCAGUACAGGUGCAGGUGCGGCCGCUUGCAAAUGGGCGGCUUUCCCCUUGUUACUAUCUGCAAGCUUCACAAUCAGAGAUCUACGCUGCAGCAAGAUAUGAACAGAGACAUGUUCAGAACGAUUAUUGAUCAUAUCAAGAAUAGCCCUUAAAAGGCCUUCACUUAUUUCAGAAGAUAGAAACAAGCAUGCAUGAGCGACUGAGAGACAUUUUGGUUGACAAACCCCAAGUAUCUUUUGAGGAUCAUCUAAGGCUUUCUUUGCAGCCUCCAGCGUCUUGUAUGUGACAAAGCCAAAUCCACUGUAUAAGAGAAGAGACGAAGUUAGAAAGAGACACUGACUUGAUAGUAAAAUACAUUUUGUGAAAACAUUGAAGCUAUGCAAACCUUACCGUGACUCGUUGGUAUCCUUAUCAUAUGCAACAGAACCUUCUUCGAUUUCCCCCUGCCUUCCAAAAUAUUUAAGCAGUGCCUCACUUGUAAUCUCAGGGGACAAACCCCCAAUAUACAGUUUCCGUUGUGCUAGAUCUGGGGUAUUGCUUGCUCCACUAAGUCCCUCGCAAGCAAGGUUACAGACAGCCAGCCGGCCCUAGAAAUAAUAAAAAAAUAUUUCAAUGCGACAAAAGGCAUAUUCCCAAGUCUAGUGCAAGGUUAAGUGAACCUGUCAACAAGAAUAUAUUGGUAAUCACUGAGUUUGCUAAUGGAAGAUGUGAAGAAAUCCUCCAUCAGAUAUAUAUAUAUGCUAUGAAUACAAGCUACCGCCAAAAUAUACUAUGGAAGUUUACUGUCCUAUGUUCUUCUUACUUCUGUCUCAAAACCUUCGAAGCAACUGUAGAUUAACAUUUCGUCUGUCUAGAGUUAACACCACUAAGUGUACACACUCUAAAUAUGGAGACGGUGAAGCAUUAAGAAAGUAACCAGGAUCAGGUACUAAUGUCACAUAUAUCUUUUAACUCUACUAGAUAAUCACUGUAGCAUGUGUACAUAUAUGGAUGAACAAAAUCAAAGCAGACAAGUAGAAACAGGUUUAACACUUACAUCAAUCAGGUUACUAGGUGCUUUCAAAGCACUUUGUGCUGAUUCCAUAUGGUUGAAUGUAAUAAAACCAUAACCACGUGACUUCCCCGUUGCUUUGUCAUGGAUCACCGCCCCUUCUUCUAUUUCGCCAUGCAUCCGAAAUGCCUGUUACAAAAAGGCAUGAAAUGAUUAAUAAGCUUCAGAAGAGAGUUUCAACCGACUGGGGAAGCUGCCAGAGAGGAAUAUGUGCACACUAAGAUCAAUUUUCAAUGAAACAGCUAUGAUAUUUUUAAAAUGUUGCGUAUGGGGAAGGGUCAACACGGCAAACAAAAAUAGCACACUCAAUGCACUCACAGCACACAAGGAAUCUGAAGUGGUAGUCCAGGCUAAGCCACGGACAAAAAGCUUUCGAUGGACCGGAUCCGCAAUAGCUAUACUUUUAAUUUCUUCUGCAAUUGAAGGAUAUUGGGUCCCUCUUUAGGCCACACAUGCAAAUCAAACACACAUGCACACAGUCAAUCACACAGCAUACAAGCAGAAGCAACGAUCAUACACAUGCGACAUUUUUCGAACCUCCCAUUAUACAGAAAAAGGUAGGAUAUUUGCAACAGGAAUCACAAUUUCUCAUAGACAAAUGCAUAAUGCCUCAUACCACAGGGAUAACAGAUAGCAGACUGGAGCAAAUCGCAAUAAGCAUCAUUCAUAUCAAAUAAGCAGAUGUCAAGGCCUCCUUUGCAAAUGUUCCCCCAUCAAAUUUAGAUAGUAUCAUCUUCUUUGGUUACAGACCAAACUAAAUCUAUGAGUAAUUUUGUUAAGGAUUGAAUCCAAGUAAUAUACUGAUAUAUACUUCAUUCUAACUCUGUCCACCCAAUCCAACUCACAGUCUGGAAAGAAGAUCGAUGAGCUGGGUUUUGCUGAGAGGGUCGAGGAGAGAGCGAAGGAGCUCCUGAUUCGCCGCUUCGCCACCGUUAAUGGCCUCGUCCAUCUUCCGCUUCUUCAUUUCCUCCAUGGAUGAUGAUGCCCGGUCCGGCGACGAGUACUUGGGUUCUUCGGUAAUCGAGAAGGCGGUUCUGAAGGCUUGUUCAGUGAAGCAGCUGAGGUCCGGGAACCUGAUGAUAUUGUUACCUACCAUUCGGACGAAGCAUCCAGAUAGACCAAUACUCUGUUUUUGCUUCCCCUUGCUUGUAUUAUGCAUAUAAUAAUUGAAAAGAGUUGUGAUAGGCUUUCAACUCUUUCGUGAUAGAGAGUGUCAAAGGGUACAAGAACAUUUGUAUUCAGUACACUACAAAUUCGUUUUUCGCCAACAGUUUUGGCCACAAAAUGUACAAGAACCGAUCACUGGAUCACAUUUCGUUCAUUCUCCAGAAUGUAUAUAUUUUUAACAGAAGAAUACAAAUCCAUUUCAUCCAUCCAAACCCUUCUAUCUGCUCUCUGUACAAAGCUCUUUGAUUCUCUGUUCUUUAGAAGCAAGUGGGUUCAGUUCUAGUAUGGAAAAUUCCUCUCUAACUUAUUUUUGUUGGGAAGUUGACAUUUUCAGACCCUUCUUCAGGAGCUACUGAGACUUCAACAACACCUGUGAAAACUGGCUCAUGAUGACCAUCUUGGAAAUUUGAUGAUGUGGUUGUUGUUGUCACAUUGAAAGCUCCCCAGAGGUUGUUACUGUUGCUGUUGUUAUUAUUACUACUACUACUACUACUGUUCUUGCUCUGUUGUUGGUGAUCAAACAUCAUCUUCAGCUGCUUGCUUUGCUCUUCAAUCCUUACCUGCAAAUUUCUCUGUAUCUGUAAGGCAUACAGAAAAAACAAGGAAUUUAUCAGAAAACAGUAAACUUAUACUACCUAUAUGAUUUUUCUAGUUUUGUUUUUACCUCCAGCUGUUCGUGGAGACGCCUCUGGACGUCUAGUUGUAGCUGAUGCGCCUCCCGGAUUUGAAAUCCACUGCAACACCAUUGUUAACCAGAUUCUGAUCACUGUAAAUACUCCAGAAAUUAAAGAAAAAGGAGGAGAGGAGGAAGAAAAAACAGGGUUUAAACUGAUGAGCAAACACAAGGGUUGGAGAAAUGAGUAUAGUUUUAGGAUGGCGUUCUUGGUUUCUUCAAAAAAAAAAAUUAUUGCUUGGUUUGGCAGGUGAAAAAUUGUUACUUUCCACCUGUCAAAGCAAACGAAAAGAAAUAGAAGAAGAAGGAAAAUUCGAUUCGAGGCGUACGCUUUCGGGUCAAGCUGUGAUACAUCAUUAAUGACACUUCUUCUAUCCGCCUUUCCUGCAAUUAUACCAUCACCAACUUACUCAACUACAUAAUGCUAUUAUGCUUCUUCUUUUCUAAUUUUGGAUUCAUGAUUUGCAACUAGCCAACGUUGUAUAUUCAAUCACGAGAUACCAGUAAGGUUUUUACUAAACAUUAGAGCUUGAAAGUUCACCUUCAGAUGUGUCUGGCAUGUACUUCGCAAUCCUGUAUUUCUGCAAAAACAAAGGAUAUUAUGUGAAGAAAGUAUGUCAUAAACUGGGAGAUGAGCUUCAUAAUUGGUUUAUAUAACAGGUUGUUUUUGGUUGGUUUAAUACCUGCAAAUGGCUUUUGACAUGGAAGAUGGUGAGUCCUUCAGAAUCCAUCAGCUUCAGAAUUGCCUUUGGAGUUGCUUCUGAUCAACAAAACCCCAUCACAAAAAAAUUCAAUAAGAAAAAUCUUUUCAUAAAUAAUAUAAAAACGAAUUUGAACCCUCUUUGUUUCUCCCCAUAACUCGAGUCAAUUGGGAUGUCUUCAUUUCGUACACAUAACUUAUUAGACCUUUGCAAACUUCAAUUCUUCUUAGAAACUCUCUCCCAACAGCUCGAUUUAUUGAGAUGCAACGAUUUAUGAUAAAAUCCGCGAUCAAAAAGUUUUCGGAAAGUAAACUCACUGUCUGCACCUCCCAAUCGAUUGACACACUCCACAAACUUCUCAUGAAGAUCCUGUGUCCAUCUGAUCCUAGUCUUAUUCGAUAGCCCGGCUCCCGAACCCAUCGAACCACCACCACCUCCGCCACCUGGAGACAGAUCAUUCUGAUCAUGCCUUGACUGGAAACCCAUCUGUGAAAUUGGCACCCCAACCUGCAUCUGUGAAAAAAUCGAGAUUUUCAGCCACUUCAGCAGUUGAAAAUUUUAUUUCAGCAGCAAGGAUCGCUGCUUUAUCUUUUUCUUUCUGCUUCUUACUUUCUCAUCCUGCAGGUUUGAUUGAAAGGGCUUGAAAUCAAGCUGCUCCAACUGAUUACGCCGGCGAUAAACUGAAUAAUUACUACUCUGUUUCAUCAGCUGCUGUAGCUGUGAUGAAUCCUGAUGUGAUCCGGAGAAGUGAUGAUCAUACUGCUGAAGACCCAUGUACCUCUCCGUCGCGUAGAACGCCGAAGCUGGCGACUCGAACCUGCUCACUAUACAGCUGCUCGGCGGCUUAGCAGAUUCGAGUCGGGCUGCGGUCCCCAUGUUGCCCCAGAUUUCCUGCUGCUGCCCCAUGAAUAACUGGUUAUUAUUACUGUUGAUCAGAAGUCCGUCGUGGAAAUCAACAUUUGGAGCAUUCAUUUUCCCCACCAUUUGUAUGAUGAUCAGGAUUUUGUGGUAUUUAAAGUAUGGGGAUGAACAUAUUCCUAGAGGGGCUUGAAGAUGAAGAUAUGAAUCGUAUUUAUAAAUGGAGAAAGGAAACGGCUUUUUUCAGUUAUUCGUGGGAUGCUCUGGUAGGGAUAAGACAGUUAUCGACAUUAACGAAGCUUUAGGGGGAGGAACAGAACAAAGAAAUGUUCUUGGAAAUGGACAAAAGACAGUCAAUUCUGUUGUCCUCACAUGAGGAAGAAUUGAGAGGAAAUAAAGGAAGGGGCAAUUUGAUUAAAUUAAGGGAAAAUAUAUAUUUACACUCGUGUAUUAUGUAACAUUUUUUUAAUAAAUUUCAAUUGAUCAAAUUUUUAAAUUUUUUAAUUAUUUUAACAAACACGCCUUUUUGUUAGUAUGCUAGUGGUAUAUAUUAUAUAAUCUUAUUCGUAUACGUGAUAGAAUUAUAUGUCGACUGUAAGUUUACUAUAUUUAAAAUUAUUAGUUUUAGGUAUUCUUGAUUAAAACCCUAAAUCAUUUUGAGUUUAUAACAAAAAAUUGUUUUGAGUUUAGUGGCAUUCUUAGUCAGCAAACAAUUUUGUUACGUAGAUGGAUAGAUUUAUGUGGCGUGUACAAUCAGUAUACUAAAUAUAAUUUGGAUGGAAAAUUAACGGAUGAUGUGUUUGUUCAAAUCGUUAAAAUUUAAGGAGUUGAAUAAAUUAAAAUUUAAUAAAAAGGUGUGGAUGUAAAUUUUUCAUAAUAUGUAUUUACUUUAAAUUAAUUUUUGAUAGAAUCGUGGGAAAAAGGAAAUGUUACUAUAAUACUUUUUCUUUGGUAAAAAUUUAGGGAUUUGGGAAUAUGGGUUGUGUUCCCUAAUGCAAUAUUAGUAUAAGAUUCGUAUAAGAUUCAUGGCUUUCCAUAACCUGUAAAUUUAUUCCUUCUCGUAGAUAUAUGGAGGAAAAAGUUGCGUGGAUAAAGAUUGUGAUAAAAGACCUCACUUGUGUUUCGGUGUCGCUCGGGAAAAAAUUCGUAUGUUACUCGGCUCGAUUUUAAGCGAGUUAAGUUUGAGUUAGUAUAUGUUCGAGUACUCGACAGGUUUAUCAAUUAGUUCGAGCUUGAACUCCAGAGCCAACUCGAAUACGAACUCGAUAAUAUAUUUCGUCAGUAGAGUCAAUAAUGCAACAUGUGUACGUCUUGCCUCAAAUAACAUAUAUAAUAAAGCAUGUGUAGAAACUUAUGAAUUUUGAGAUAACUUGUUUUAAUUUUAGCUUGACUUGUUGAUGAUUUUUAGUUACAUGUUUCAAAUUCAACUCAAAUUGGACUCUAGCUAUGAGUUUUAAUGAGUGAAAUUCGAAUUGAACUCGGCUCGUCAACGAUAGUUAACAAACGGUCAAACUCGAAUAGGCUCCAGCUCGUCACAAGCCAAAAUUUUCUAACUUGUUCGAGCUCGAUUAAAACUUAACGAACCAAACUCGAGCUGAAAUUGGCUCAAGUCGGUUUCGUAAACUGCCCUAGUCCCAACUCAGAACAGCUAUAGUGAGUGAACCAUUAAGGACAACAGUCGAGACUGAAAAUUACUGCAGCACAAUUUAUCCAAGUUGGCGGCCACAGAUGAUACUAUAUGCAGUGCUGUAAUCAUCGUCGAAUUAAACAGAGGUCGUCACUGUCAGUGAAAACGACCCAUGCACAAACCGCCACCUGGGUAAUUUUCCCUUGUUAUGAUCGCAACACAGAAAAACCAGACAGUUUACUUUUUAAUAAAUUAAGAUCGAACACAGUCGUCUCCUCCUCGUAACCGGUCACAAGCUGGGUGGGCGUGCAACUCCAUGCGCGCCGUUGGAUAAACCGAGGAAUUAAUUUUGGUAAGAAAAGAAAACAUGAUUCGAUUCGAAACUAUGCAUCAGCUGAUCUGGUGUUCUAGAUAGUUAUAUAGCCUUAGAGUUUUGGGCAAAAAUUAGGAUUAGCCUUACUAACGAGACAGGUAAAACUAGUAAGAGUGAGAAUUUGGACUUGGGAUUUGGAUUACUGAAAAAACGUAAAACAAAAGCGCCUAGAAAAGAAAAGAACUUGCUAACAAGUAGAGUCCACCUAGUGAUGUUGAGGAGAAAGUUCAUAGUCUUUCCGGUUGAGCUACAAGUAAUAUUUAUAGUUAUAUCUUCGUUCGUUAUUAUUUAUCAGAAUUUAAUAUGCUGGUGAUUACAAUACAAACGGGAUGGACGAUGGCCCACUCUGAAGAUGACCAAGCUCCGCCCCUGAUAUGGAGUAGUGAAGUUGAUUGUGGUGUGAAUUGAUAAUGAAGUAUUUAUAGACUUUUGGACCAAGUUGGAGAAGGAUUGAGCUCAAAAAUCUCGUCAGAAGGAGGAACAUGGUGUGUUCCACUGGGACAUGGUUGUGUCCUUUCUUCUGCAGCUCUCGGUUGUGGGCAGCAAUAGGAGGAACACGGCUGUGUUCCCUUAGAACACGCCGUGUUCCUUAAGUAUACAUAAUUUGACCAUCGCAUCUACAAAAACGUUAUAGACAAUCGAAGUAUCUUUCUAACGCCCCUGACCAUACAUCAAUUGGACUUCCGAGCUAUGAGUUAUGCUCAAAAUACUAAACAGUGACGUUUUCUUCUCAAGUCAAACGUAUUGAAUUGUUCCGACUUCCCCGUCAUAUCUUGAUUCAUCCCGAUACGUUAUAUGACACCUAAAAUGUACAUAAAACAUACAAAGUAACGUAACACAGCCCAAGAGACUAAGAGGAACCAAAUAUAUACCAAACGUCAAGAAUUCGAAUAUAUUAAGGCAUCAAAACGUCCAAAAUUGUCAAUUAAAAAAAUAACAAAUUUACUAAUAAUGGAGCACAUCAUGUAUAGAUUUUUUUAUUUUGGAGCCAUUUUGGCAUGUUUGUCACGGUAUUAUAUACUUUAGUUUCGAAGGUUAACCGCAUUGCGGCUAAAAUCUUUACCAUAAAAAUUAAUAUGCACCGUGCGUACUAUAUGCCUAUAUAUAAAGAAUAUAUCAAUCAACAUUUCAAUAUAAAGAAAAUUACAAAUUUUCAAUUUUAUAAAUCUCAAAAUAGAUGGAUAUCCUUUGAAAAAAAGCAAUGCAAACAUGCACUAAUACAAUUUUGUUUUAUAUAUACAAAAUGAUUAGAUUCCUUAAUUGACACUUUGUUUAAUUUAUUUUAUGAGGAAUUAUUUCAUCUUUUUCAUAUUGAUGGUGGGCUUUAAUUUCCUACAUUCCUGGAAGAACAAUUCCCCUGGCCACUAAUUGCCAUUUUAAAAUGUUCUCUGCUUUUAAAUAUAGCCAUAGUAGUGAAAUCUUUAAUUUUAUUCAAUGUGGAUCGAAAAUUAAAAUGAAAUUAUAGUCGUACUUUUGAAUCACAAAAUUUUAAAAUUUCACAACUUUUUUAUCAUAGCAAGUUUGAAAAAAAAAUGCAUUGAUUUUUAAUAUAAUUAUAAUAUAGUGAAUUUAAUAGCCAACAUACCUAUUAAUUGAACCUGUAUUAUUAUUUUAUUAACCACUGUCAUUUUCAUGGGUCAACACUCAGAAGGCAGCAUCAAGAAAACCAACAUUCCAAGAUGAAGGGAAAAGGAAUGAAACGGAUGCUUGUGGUUCAUAAUUUGAACCAUAUAAUGGAGUUUGUAGAUGCUAUACUUCUAUGUAGGAUUUAUUCUUUCUUCACUAAUUUGAGAUUGUUUUGAGUUUUACAAAAUUAUUAUUAUUGUUCUGCCUGGUGAUUUGAGACUCACAAUUUAAUGAAUAUUUCCAUUUGAAAAAAUUAGGUUGCUUGUCAUCAGCUUAUUCAUGGUGGUUUAACGUUGAACAUGUGGUUAUAUUAUGAAAGAGGAGUUAAAGACGUAUUGAAAAGAGAGCGUGAAAGACAUUAAAGUAUUAAUGGGUGUCCGUAGUCAUAUAGAUUUAGGAUGGACGAGCUUAAUAGAAUAUUUAGGCAUUAGAUAUAUAGGUAAGUAAAUACUGAAUAGUGUCGAGUUAGAGAGAUCUCAUUUUCUUAUAUAGUCUUAUGGGAUUCAAAUCGGAUGACCAUGUGUGAACGACUGACUGGUGAUCUGAUUAAGAUCAGGACCCCUUGAGUUUGGUCGCCUAAGGUUGUCGGUUGAACCUUUCUUGAGCUUGUACAAUGUUGCACAACAAUAAAGUGACUGUUUGAUGAUUUGUAUAUUGUCAUCCCACGUCAUCAGUUAUACAUAAAAUUCAGUUAUCCUGAUUUUUAGGACUUUAAUGGGCUUGUGGAUCGGUAGAGAUAUAGCCCACUAAGGAGAGAACCGUUAGUUUAACUUGGGCUUUGAACCGAGGACGCAUAAGCAAGCAAACCAUAUUAUUUACAGCCCAAUGUCUGUGGGCCCAAUCUAAGACUCCAUUUCUGUCAUCAUAUAAUAAACGGUGAGGAUCAGAACUAUAAAUAAUCAAUCAUGCAUGAAUCAAAAGAUAGAAAUAUAUAGACUUUGAUUAAUUCAACAAAGAAAGUUUCCAUGCAUGCAUGCAUGAUGCACACCAACACCAAGAUAUGUUCAUAAACAGAAACCCAUUUCAUCAACUUUCCAUCUCCACAAACCAAAAGCCAGAUCGAGAGAUACGUACACACCAGCUGGAAACUUAAAACCAUGGGCUAGCUAAUAACUAUGCAUGCAUAUAUCACCUACUGCUUCGGACAUAAAGUUCAUAGGAUGAUUCUACACGAAUCAACGUACGUACAUGAGAAAACUGCUACGAUUUGCAGCUGUCAUCAGUGUUCAUCUUUAUUGUGUUGUGAUCAUCAGCAGUAAGUAACCUAGUUGUUUGGUGCAUGCAUAUUAUAACUCAAAUGAUUGUGGCAAGAACCCGCAAAAAAAGAAGCUUUGGACGUCACUGAUCAUCAAUGCUUACGUACGUGGAAGGUGUUGAUUGGUUGUUCAUGAUUAUAUAAUGCAUGCAUUACUUGUUGGAACUUUCCUUCUGGGUUUAAUUUCCAGCCUCUUGCCAGCUCGGCACACGUACGUACGAUGAAGGCCACGUAUGAUUAUAUGUUCUCCAACAUCAUAACGGGAUCAGGAUGGAAAAUGCAUUACUGAGUAGAUUUUUUAAACCAAAUGGUGAAUCCACUCUUUCGAGCAUUUGUUGUAUUAUUUUUAGUUAAAACAAAAUUAUAUGUGUCAUCGAUAAACUUUUUUUUCAAAAUAUUGAAAUUUUUUGAAUUAAAUUUAUUAUGGUAUUUAUUAAUAGGUUGGUUAUAAAUUUCGAAAUUGAUAGUUUAUUUAAUUUAGUCUAAACAAAUGAGUAGAUGAGCAGAACUUCAAAUAUGUACCAUAAGCCGGAUGACGAAAUCAUCUAAAACUUUACAUAUAAUAUAGUACUCGAGACCAAGAAAUAACAUCAUCGGGACUCGAGAAAAUUAUAAAUUAAAUAUAGACAUGAAAUUAAUGGUUUGGAUCGAAAUUAACCUGGGUUGAGCCGGGACUUACUCCAACCAACCACCCCGUUCUGCCAACAAUCCGACCGGUCUGAUCAUGAAACUACUACAAAUUAAUUGCUAUAUAUGAUAUGGACCGAUCAACUGACCCGUACGUGAAAUGAAAAACAAAUAUAUGGUAGUUACAAACGACCAAUCGUUUUGCCUGAGUUAGCGUGAAACUAAGUAGGAAUCAUCAGUAAAAUUGAUGUUAACGUGAGAUAAAAACAAACCCAUGCAUGUUUGUCAACGAAGAGAAAUGCAGUAGUUGAGUCAAAUGUCUAUCACUAAGUAUAGCCAAUUAUGAAUUAAAUCCAGUUAUUAAUUAUAUUUGCAGAUCCAAUCUUUUCCACGAGGUUACGAAAUAACAAUAAUAAUGGAGGGUUGUGAGAUUAGGUCAGAUGCAUGAGGAUGACAUAAACCGCUGGUUUAAUUGGUUGCCCACAUGACGACGAGACGACCAAGACUUUAAAAGAGUGACCAUUAUGUAAUUGGUACGGCAUAGUCAUGAUUUGAAUUUUCGAAAUUUAAUAAAAUAUAUUUGCUUACCAUACAUUAUAAUAAACUAUUACGCGAUUUCAUAUCUUGAUAAUGUUGUAUGACACAAUGUGUACUCAAUAUAUAGCAAAUGAGCCAUUCUACCACUAAUUACCCAUGCGGUUUCGAAAAUUGAGUGCUCUUUAUCCCAACAUAGAGGAGAAGAUCAGAGAAGAAUAUGUUUGGAGUCCGUGGUUCGAUUUAUUUUUGGUUCAACUCAUAACCAUCUCCUUUCACAAUUGAUACAAGAACUUUUUAUUCGAAGAUUGUUUGGGUGAUAAAAACCUCAAAAAAUGACUUAAUAUUUUUUGGGCUUUCCAAUCCGGUAGCGGGUUUGGCGUGACUGGUCAGAUUGAUUCGGGUAUGGCUACUGUGAUCAUAUAGUCGUCGGAAACUUCCUUUUAAAUUGAAAAAAAAAAAUUAAAGUUGACACCAUCCCAAAUAAAUAAAUAUUUGAAAUUGUGUGUAGUAUAAUGAAAGGGAAAUUGCAUUAGGACUUUCUGCGAUGGUGACAAUCGAAUAUAUCAGUUCAAGACUCUGUGGAAAUUAAACAUCUACGAAGUCGUCUUACGUACUAAUUUUCUUGCUUUAAAGCUUCCGUAUUUUGAUUAUUAUCUGUUUUUGUUUCGGUAUUGACAAAUAAAUAAUCUGAUGCGCCGAACAAUUAUUUGUGUUAUAUUAGUGUAUUAUUGGUAUUUUAUCAACAACAAAUUAUCAAAAUAUAAUAAAAAUAACCAUGAUUUUGUACGUGUUUACCUGGUCUGACAGUUGGUACCCUACCCAUCCUGGAUUUCGAGUUUGAACUUGCUUGGAAAAUAGCUAGUGAAUCUUGUACUUGGUUUGAAACAGUAGUGAAGCAGCUUUGCUACAGGUUAUGUCUGGUUCCAACCCUUUAAUUUGCUCACAUGCAUAUGACUGUCGGAUAAUGUUUCAGAGUGUAGACACAAAAAUGUUCUUAAUUUGUAUCUUUGUUGGUGGUGGUGGACGCUAGUGGGUAUCUAUUGUUGCAGUCUUAGCAGAGAAAGUAAACCCGGUCUCUGCUACUUGUGCUACUGAGAUCUUGGGUCAUUUGUCAAUUACCCGCCUAAUCAAUCGAUGUGCUCAAACCUCGACCAUCCAAUCUUGAUCACAAUCGAAUAUUUUACGGAAAUUUACAGCAUUGCAUAGAGUGUUAUUGUCACCUUAUCUUAUCCUUCCGACAAAAGCUAUAGCAUCUAGCGAAUAGUCCCCGAUUAUACAUGUAGGUGUCUAGCUAUACGUACCUUUUCUCUAAAGCCAACUAUAAAUAUGUCACAGUACCUUCUAACUUUGUUGAGUAUAUGUACGCAUGAAUUAAAAUGUAACCAUUCGAAUUUCACCAACUAAGUAAAAUCAAUUAUAUGCUUUUAGUAUUUGUAAGACUGUCAACUCUGUUGAUAAAUAAAAUUGCUCUGAUGGUAGAAUUGAUAUGUUAAAAAUUAAAACGUAUCGAAUUUGAAUUCAAUACACUCGAAACAAUAACACCAAUACAUAUUUUUUGCACUGACGGAGAGGUUUUGUCCGACAAUAAAAGUGAGGGGAUGGCCGGACCAUGGUGAGAGAGUGAGAAAUAAAAUAUUUACAUGCAGCAAAUUAAUCAACAUGUCCUGUUCUUGUUGUCGGGGAGUAAUUAACUGAUUAACAUUGGAUUAGUAAAAAGUAAUUAAAAAUGAGAUAAUUUGACUGAUCCAAUGAGUUAGCGGUUACAGGCCGCAGGAGCUCCGGCCUCGGCGACCGGUGCAGUUCCGACUCGGAUCCGCUUUCCCGCUGCACCCUCUUAAUUUAAUUUAAUUAAUUAAUUAAUUAAGGCGUUAGCAUUGGGAAAAGGCUCAUCUCAUUAUUUAAUUUAUAAAUUAAUCAUAUUUAUAUGAUUAGGUUAUUUGCUUGCGGCGGGGGGNNNNNNNNNNNNNNNNNUUUAGCCUGAAUUAUCGUUCUUCUUCUUCUUCUUCCCUUUUGAAUUAGGAAACUUCUUCUUCACUUUACACUGCUCUUUUUGCACAUAUAUUAAUUCACUUUGUCAGCUGCACUGAUUCCCUUUGGAGAUGUGUAGAAAAAUGACCAAAUUAUAAAAUUUGAUGGACCGAAUAUUAAUGCGCUUAUAAUCGAAUUAAUUUAAGGUGUUUGGAAUAUUUUUGUUAUUCUGUUUGGACGGGUCCGUCUAGCGGUAGGUUUUUUGGCAAUUUUGGGUCAUGUGUUGUCAAUAAACUGGCCUUAUCAAUUUGAUUCGUUUCGAUGGAGGAUUAAGAUUUUUGUGUUUAAUUCUCUAAUUUAUGUUAUGUUUUACGUCUACCUAACGAAACCACAGUCAACAUAUAUAGACGACAGUUCGACAGCCAACAUGAAACCAAACUAAACAUUCGUCCUUGUUAUUAAGCAACUCUAUUAAUGAAUAAAAAUUAAACAAUUAACCCAUUAAUUAAAUGCAACUACGUACCGAGCACACAGUAAACUCCCUACUUAUAUAUGCUUUGUCUGAAAGGAAAAGAUUUUCCAGAGCUCAAUUUUUAAAAACAAAAGGAAAGAUACCCCCCAUCUGGGGCCCACGUCAGCAAAUUGUUUUUUUUCUAAGAUAAUUUAAACAUAUCAUGAUUUUCUUUGUCUUUUUUUCUCUUCUCGUUUAAUCAAAAUAAGCUUGUUGUGAAAUUACUCAAUUAGUAUAAUUANNNNNNNNNNNNNNNNNUUAGUAUAAUUAUGUUACCAAAUUGUUAUAGAUCUAUGUUGUCAUUAUACGUGACCAAUUUGACGUAAAAUAUCAUGAAUAUACUACAAGACAAGUUCUUUGAUGUUAUGUAUCUUUGGCUCCAUAUAUCACCACUACUUUCAAAUUAUAUGUACACUAUAAUUCGGCUAGAAUGAUGUUAAAUUAUCAACAUAUAGAUAUUAUCCACAUUAUAGUUAUUAACUUAGUUAGUGUAGAUUCACUAUUAUAUUCAAUUGAUUUACCAACCAGUGCAAUAUUCAUCUUGAUUCAUUAAUUUAUUAUAUUAAUUGCUCUUUUUUGUUACAGAGAAUUUGUAUUAUAAAAGUAGUAAUUGAAACUUUCUACUUGUAUUAACAUGACUUUUGAAACCCAAAAUAAUAUGUUUGAAAAGAAGUUUCCAACCCCGUGUUAUACGAAUCAAUGGAAUUUUGUUAUACGAGCUUAAAUUUUUAUUAUGUGAAAAUGUUGUUUAAUUAAGAUUUAAUAGCGAAUUUUAUUUGAAGAUCUAAUGAGCUAUUAUAACGAAUUUUCUUGAUUUCUCCGUUUUUCCUCAAUGUAACUUUAAAAAGUUGAGAACCAUCCCCACAAGUCAUAUGUCACAACAACGGCACACCCAAUGAAUCAAUCAAUCUCCACGAAAAGAAGCAAGCAAAUUCCAUGACAUACGAUCAUCAACCUUCAAAAAGCACCACAAUGGCAAAAUCGUAAUUACACCCAUUCUCCACACUAAACAAAAAAAAUCACCUUGUAUUCCACACCCCCUUUAUAAACCCACCUCAAUCCCCACAAACUAAAAGCCAAACCCACCACAUUAACGAAAACCAAACCCAAGAAAGAAAA
rnacentral:lncRNA from 1 species